AUUUGUAACUAGGAAUUAGAUUUGAUUUUCAUCUACAGUGUUGCAUGAUUGUGUGCGUGUGUGGUGCAUGCAGUGUUUAUGAAUCAUGACGCUGCUCCGAAUGCAUCACAGGUUAAGCGUCCAGGUUAAUUAAAUUAUGAAUCAUACACGUUAUAUAGUUCACCAUGGUGCAAUUCAGCAAAGUGUCACGUACAUAUUUCAAAAAACAUUGCAUACGUACUAUUACGUGUACUCCCUCCAUUCCAAACUAUAGGUCGUUUUGAUUUUUCUAGGUUCAUAGAUAUUAUUAUCUAGAUAUAAUGUAUGUUUAGAUGUAUAAUAAUACCUAUGAACCGUCAAAACGACCUACAAUUUGGAACGGAGGGAGAGAUUUAUUUAAAAAGUUCAAAUUACAUUAUUUUGCUUUCACGAAAAAGUGACUGCUUCCCUAGUGUACCGCCAGGCUAACAUGUCACGUAAUUUUUUUUGUCAUGCUAACAUGUUGACGUUGGAUUACUAGGGAAAAGUAGUCACUUUUUUUUGCAAGUUGUCGCACACGUUAGAUGAUUAGAUCCCGUUAAGUUAGUUAGAUCUAAUAGGUAGAUUUUCCCUAUUUAUUCUAUUUUUCCAAAAUAAGAAUAUAAAAACAAAUAUGAUAAUUAUAUACUGAUCUGUUAAAUGGACGGUCCACGUUCAUUUCGGAGUACUUUAGCAAUUCCCAGUAUUGUUCGCAUCGAUAUUGUAAACCAACUUCACUAAGCAAUAAUGCAAAAUUAUUCAAUAAUCCUAAGUCAACCACUUGAGAUGUCAAUAGAUGCUAUAAUAAUCACCAUACCGCCUUUUAAUUUCCACACAGUUUUCUUCAUGAUGCGACCAUUGGUACAGACAAUCUGAAUUGCUGAAGCCGACCUGAGAACAUGGCCUAUCACUACAAACAAAGUACAAGAUGUGAUUUCAAAGUUACGAUUGGAUCAACACAUAAGUAGGACCAAGUAAGUUAUGUCUCUCUCAACUCGGUACCAGUGUGCUGUCUUCACUUGCUUAAUCAUUUCUUAAGGAUUACGAAGUGGCACCUAUACCAUGUCUUGGACAUGGCCAGCCAUUAUAAACAAAAUUGACAACAAAAAGAAUUUUAAGAUCGACUUAAUUUAUGAUUGGAUUGACAUAUAAUAAUAACCUACCGAGUCUUUUGUUUCUCAAGUCCUUGUUUGACCACAACUAUUUUUCAUAUAUAAUGCUAAUUUCUAACUAUGAAUUGGGAGAGCCCGGAAGAGAAUCGCUUAGACAAUGCACAUAAUAAAAAACUGGUCUCUCUUCAGUUGCUUACUUCUAUAUUAGAUUAUGAUAACGGCAUCCUGAAGCACCUAGGUCCCUCUCCCACCUUUGGUACUUUGGUAAGGGUGUGUUUUGAUGAUAAAUGAUACUCUUAUACUUGUGACUGACCCGUGUGUUUUGAAGUGGACCCUCAAUUGAAUUAAAGCGGACCCUCAAUUGAAUUAUCAAGCAGACUAAAAGUCUAAUGCGACAAAGGCUAAGGACUCUUCUAGAACCAAGUAUCACAAGGAGAUGAAGGAUACUUGGUGUAGUAUAGGGUUUGUUAUUUUUCUAACUCUUGGACCGUACUAUUAAGAGGGGUUUCAAUGAUAGUAUCUUGACCAUACAAGGCUAGCCAUGAAAAUGAUGCACACUCAGUAUACUCUGGCACUUGGUAGCUCAAAUAACUCAUGGAAGUACUCAAGAAGCGAAGAAAUUGACAAAAAAAUAAAAGGAAUUUGAAUUGGAUGAGUUAUAAAGAUAAGGGGACCGUCGGAUGUUCCGAUGCCCUAUUUUUUAGUUGCAUCGGAUGAAUUUUUCAAGACUGGAAUCUCUGGAGGGAGGCAUCACUUGUUCCGAUGCUACCAUCGGAUAAAUUGGUAGAGACCAUUGGAAAAAGCAUAUUUACAAUUCCAACUUCCAGAGAGGUUUUGGGUUUUGGGCCUUCAGCACCGGUUGAUCUAACGCCUUGCGUAUGACUAUCGGAUGAAUGCGUCGGAGCAAGCAUAUUUUCAAUUGAAACUUACAGAGAGGUUUACAGAGAGGUUUUGGCCAAACUCUUCAGCACCGGAUGAUCCGAUGCUCAGCUCAAGACCGACGGAGCAAUUAUCGGAUAUACUUUUCUAACGGUCACAAUCUAGACUUGUGUGCGGCCGGAUGUUCCGAUGUCCUGGGGAUGGAAACCAUCGGAUCAUCCGAUGGUGUGCUUUUUUGUGUACACUUUUCCAACGGCUAGAUAGUGUUGCCUAGCCUAUUUAUACCCAUUUGCCAGGUCAUUUAAGCUGCUCUUGACACCCUAAAGACUUCAAGCAGCUCAUGAGCAAGUGAAAGUGUGCUAGAGCCAAAAGUGAUUUGUAAUUUGCAAGAUUAAGGACUUCUCUUAGUACUUGAGAGUGAUAAGUGUGCAUCUAGUUCGUGGCUGAGCUUAGUGCUGGUCAAGCGAAGCAUUGAGGCUUAUUACUCUUGGUGGUUGACGUCACCUAGACGGUCUUGGUGAUUUGGAGGUUCUUGGUAAGCUCUUGGAGAUUGUGGGAGCCCCAAGAGGAAGAUCUUGUACAUGGUUUGAAGUCCGCCGUUCUAGAGAUGAAGAAGGGACAUUCUUAGUGAGCACUCAAGUUUUGGUGGCUUCAGGGGGAGCAAAACCUUUAGUGGGGGCUCCAACGUGGAUUAGGGGGAGCGUGAACUCCUCGAUACCAUGGGAAAAAAUCCGGUUGUCUUGAGUCCUCUCUCUUUAUAUUUCAGCACUUCGUUUGAAUAGUUACUUCCUGCAAUUUACUUGUUGUUUUGCUCUUGUUCUUGUUGUGUUUGUUUUGCUCACAUCUUGCCUACGUUGCAAUAUAUAUCUUAGUGUGCUCAUUGCUAAAUUUUAUCCUUGAUAGUGUGUUUAGUUCAUUGGUUUGAACCUUGUAGUUGGGCAUCACUAGUUAUCUAGGUUAAUGUUUGUUUUUCUCGUUCUAGAAAUUAAAAAAAAAAGUCCCAAUUCAACCUUCUUCUUGGGCCACCGAUCCUUACACAUCCGUACUGCAAUUGUUUUUUUUCCUCUAACUAACUCGACCAUCCGACCAUUGUUACAUUGCUUUCACAAGAAAAAGAAAGGUCGAAAGCACUCUUAUCGAACUUCUGAAACUUAACCCUUAAGCUCUAGUAGUCCAUAGCACAAAAAGCUACAAGUCCUUCUCCACUCUUCUAAUGCUCAUGAAAGCAAUUCCAGGAGAUCAUCUUGUUGUGUGUGCAUUGGAUGCCACUAACAAUCAUAGCUUGGUUAGCUGCCUCUCCCAAGAAUAGCCUUUAUGUUUGUUUAUUACAAAGGGAACGAACUUGCUGUUUACAUGUAGGGCAAAGCUAUCACUGGUACGUCCUUGCUGUGUCCUGUACUACCAAGUUAGUAACUCUACUUCAUCUAUUGUUGUUGCAUUAUGAUGGCUACUUGCAAAUUAAGGGUAAGAAGGACCAGCCACGGAUGCAAUGAUCAACUAAUCUGUGCGAUCUCGACUAGUGACCCAAAUGAUUUGUUGCAACAACGCAACACCUGAUGGUGCCAACCCUGAUGCAAAUGAACUUAAUCAGGAAUAGUACAAAAAGAGACUUUCAUGGCUCUUUUGCUUGCAGUUAGAAGACUUUUCUAUUACAAGACAGUUACCUAAAUCAAAAGGGAUGUCAAUGAUAAAGUGACUCGAUGAGUGGAGGGGAAAGCAUUCACCAUAUAUUCUCAUAACUUAUGAAGGAUUACACCUAUGGACUGAAAAGAGAGAGAGGUGAUCCGAACAUAGUUACAGAAAGAAGAACAUCACAUAAGAUUCCUGUCAAUAACAUAGAUUAGAUCCCAUAUGCACUAUCAAUAUUCUUUCAUAGCAAUUAAAAGAGAUCCUUUUUACUUCUUAAUUUAUCACCUUUAUUUAUGUUUUGACAAGGAGCUAAAAGGUUUUAUUUGUUUGAAUAAAAAAUUCUCAAUUUGUGAUGUAUCCAUGUAAUCACACAAUUCGUGCGAUAGUAUUAUCUGUUUCAAAAAGAGCACUCACAAAGAAAAUGAGAAUUAUUGUUUGUAUUCGUAGAAAAUAAAAAAAUGUGUUUGGAAGAUGUAUUCAAAGUUUUACGAGAUCAUCAUUUCAGGUGACAUACAUGAUCAAAUGGCUAAGAUAAGACACAUGAACAGGGGCGGAUCCAAGAUCCAUGUCUAGAGGUGCUCCCUUCCCUCUUCUUCUUCCUCCUUCUCUCUUUUCUUUCUUCCUCCUCUUCAUCUAUGCCUAAAAUUUGUGGGGGGCUCCGUGGACUUCAUGGCCCCCCGCCCCCACGCGCUGGAUCCGCCCUGCACAUGAACAGUAGAUAACGAUAUCAAUUACACGGAAGACCUGCUGGGUAUUCAGGUUGGCUUACAAUACCAUUCAUAUACACCCUACCAAGAAUAUUGUUGCGCAGGGAUAUGACACACGUAAAAAUAAAGUCUGUCCGGAGAGGCCCCAGCAGGCUAGCUAGCCACUUCUAUAUGUGGAUGGUAAUCCUUAAAGGAGUGCGUGGGAAUAGAACCGUGUGCUGUUAUUCAUAUAUACCACCCUACCAAGAAUAUUUGUUGCGCAGGGAUAUGACACAUGCAAAAAUAAAGUCUAUCCGGAGAGGCCUCAGCCUCGAUCGCAGGCUAGCUAGCCACUUCUAUAUUUGGAUGGUAAUCCUUAAAGGAGUGCGUGGGAAUAGGACCGUGCGCUCUUAUUCAUUCCGUUUACAGCUCCGCGGAAAGUAGAUUAUAUUCCUCCUACAUGUAUGGACAAGGGGGGAACAAGAUCCAUGGUUUCUCCACUGUUCUAACUCUAAUCGACUACAACCGUUAGCAAAACAUGGGGGACCAAAGGAAAGUAUGCCCACACUAAGAGGACCAAGCAAUAUUUUUUGUGGCACAUGUAGAGUUACGUUGUGGCUUAGUUUAUCAGGCAGCUAGGGUUCCUAGAUAAUGGAAUCGAUCUGGUGGACUUCUAGAACAUACUAUAUAUAUAUAUAUAUAUAUUGAAGGAACUAAACCUAGCUACAUCACCUAAAGACGAAUAAGCUUUAGAACAAUGUGUAAUACUAAUUGGCCACCUGGCUACCAUAUCUGGUAUUUUUUUUUGUAAAUUGUAUUAUUAUUGUUUUUCUCAACCUAAAAUGUGUGAAAUACUUCCUUGAAAAUGGUAAAAAUAUAGUAUUCAUAAAAGCCUUAAUUGCACACGUGCAAUCCAUAUCCACACACUAGAUAUUCUUUUGCAAAUUCUCUAAUAUAUUAGAAAAACACCGCAUUAUAAGGAUGCAUUUGGAAACCUUAAUUAGUGAUGAAUGCCGUACAAAAUAGCAACAGGUAGUACUAAACUAUUCAAAGAGAACUGAGACCGUAGUUAAUUACUUUAUUUGUAUAGAAAAAACUGCAUAGGUACCAACCCCCGGGUAUAUAUAGGGUUAUCUUGUCCAAAGAUCGGACAUACGUGUAGCGUGUAUGUAACAUGCAUGCAGGAAGCCAGGAACCAAAUGCUCUCUGCAAGUAUCGGAGACUCACGACCGGGUGCGCUUUAUACCUUUUGGACCAGCGGUACGAACGCAUCAGCUACGGUUAAUUAUUGUCUGGGUUGAUGAGCGCCACCGUCCCCGGUCGGAGGAGAAUCGAUAGUCCACGGUCGGAGGAGAAUCGAUACCGUACCCGGCCAGCAGCCGGCCUGCCGGUGGAGAAACGGAGCAAGGUCGAUCGGCCGAUGCCAUCGAUUUGUAUCACGACAAGAGCAUGCAUGUCUAUUCUAGGAGUUGAACUAAAAAAAUUCAAAAGGGGUCUAGGGCCAGUAGAUGAGUGUAUGAGACGAAAUUAUGCUUCGCUUUUGGACUUGUAUUAUGUGUAUGUGCGAGGAUCGAAUCAGAGAAAAACAUUCAUGCAUGGAGUACUGGAAGGAGCUAAUUAAAGCAGGGUCUUGGAGUCAGAGUCACUAGCCAGUAGAUUAACGCGGGAGGUUUCCGUUUAAGCAAUACUUAUUGACCACCUAUCUAGCUCUAGUACAUAAUUAACUUGUACACCCGUAUAGAAAUUAAAAUGGAGUACUCAUCAUGAAGUGAAUGAGGCGUACUGGUACAUGGACACCGUAUUGACGUGAUAGUCCACGGUCGGAGGGAAUCGAUACCCGGCCAGCAGCCGGCCGGCCGGUAGAGGAACGGAGCAGGAUCUCGGCCGAUGCCAUCGAUCGAUCGGUAUCACGACAAGAGCAUGUCAUCUAGGAGUUGAUCGAACUAGAAAAUUUGAAAAGGUGUCUAGCUAGGGCUCUAGGCUCUAAAAAAAAUCUUUAUAGAGGCACGCAUGUGUAUGCUCUAGAUGAGCGUGUAUGCGACGAAAUUAUGCUUUUGCUUUAGGACUUGUGUUAUGUGUAUGUCUGAGGAUCGAAUCAAGGGAAAUUGGGAAAACAUGCUUGGAGGACUCGAAGGAUGUAAUGUGGGAGGUUUCCCUAAGAAAUACUUAUUAACCACCUAGUAAGAGGCUCAUCUUGAAACCUCCAGAACCACCUAGGAUUCCUAAAUGGACACUCUAGAAAAAGAGAGAAAUCUUAAAAAUUCUUACAAGAAAACAAAACAUCUUGCCAUCAAUCUGUAAACUCAAGUCAUCAUAGUCAGUGGAUCUAAUAAUAGUCUAAAGUAACCCUCUAAAUCUAUACCUAAAUUACUCACAUCUGUCAUUAUAUAAAAUUUACUAAAGUAACCCCUAAUAUUCAUCAAAAUUACCCACUCAUGCCAUGUCGGGGGAAUAGUCCGGCAGUCCACCACGGAGUAGACCAAGGUGAUAGAUUGUGUGGAGGUGCAGAGCGUAAAAUUGAUCGAUCAGCAGUGCUCACGGUCAAGAGCGGCCUGGAUCCUCACAUGAUUAAUUUAUCGGAAGUUAAUUAAAUUAUUGUUAUUUAUUGCUAUUAUGUUGAUUUAUGUUCAUAUUUAAUGUGGGUGGUAUAAACCUAUACUUUUAGUAAUUGCUAAUAAAACUUGACCAACCAAUUAAAAUGCUGAAUUACUAUUAAACCAUAGCCUAUCCUUGAAUGGCCUUACACUACAUAUUCCUCAUGCUUGCUGAGUACCAACCAUAAGUGUACUCACCCUUGCUAAAAUCGCUGCUCAGAACAAGUCAACUUUGAGGAGGUUCUUCAAGACUUCGAGGAGUUCUAGGCGUACAUGUGCCCUCAGUCAACUACCUGUGGAGUCGUCGUCUUCGUUGGAGUUCCACUGCUAUAAUAAAGAUUCUUUUUGCUAUUCGAUUUAAAGACUAUUGGUCAUGUAAUAAAUAUAAUACUCUCUUUACGUUAAUGCAUCAUCUAUGGUAUUUACUGAAGUCGUUGCCUGUGUGUAACUUGAUGCUAGCGUACAUGUAGUUCAUGCAUCUGGUUUUGCCUUUAAAACCGGGUGUGACAUAAUCCUCGACUAAUUUCUAUCUUGCCAUGUACACUACACCGUCUUGCGCCAUAGCCUUCAUGUCAGAUACGUCUCGGUGUCCAGCCCUGUACUCAAGACUGUCCAAAUCUUCUGGUAAGUCAAUGGAUAUAUGUACGGCAGCAGGCGGAGCCAUGGCGCAGGGGGCGCGAUGGAGAGGCAAGUGGUGGCGCAUAAGCGCGACGAGGAGAGGAGCCAAGCGAGGGCACGAUGCAGGCCGUGCGGGCCGCGUCGUGCCUCGGGCAGCCUGGUAGCCUGCGUGCCUUGGGCCAGCCCGAUGACCUAUCGUGCCCAUGCUUGGGCCGUCGGUUCAGCCCGUGAACGGGCACGGCACGGCACGCUGGUGGUGUAGUGCCGAGCCUAGCCCGGCACGAAAAUGGCUGUGCCUUGCCGGCCCAUGCCGGACCCGGCCGGGCGGCACGAAUGGACAACUAUAGGUGGCUGCUGGCCGUACGCAUUCUAUCUGAGCGAGGUGUAUUGUAUCAAGUCGGGGAUAAAAAGAACCUACUCCUGCUACCGAUCGACCUCAGGGGAAAAAAGAACGGCGGGAAGGAAAGCAAGAAAAAAAAACAUGUGUGUAGUCACGGCUGUGGUCCAAUCUACUGCCCUGGAGCCUCGCUCGUCUUUGACUUUAUCUGUGCAGCAGUGGCGUGUAUGCAUGACGACGACGCUUUGUUCUAGCCUCGCACGUCUCUCGCUCGUGGUGAUCCAUGCAUGUUCAUGCCCUUUACCUCGUGUUUAUAUUAGUUGCUUCCUACGGGGCCAGGGUUUACGACGCCGACGUGUAAAUAUUUUUAUUUCGUGUUCAUCCGUAUCACCAGCGCAGUAGAUAAAAUUUGGCACUGUGUACUGUUGAGUCAAACAAACACACAAGUUGGUCUACUAUCCGGCACUACUUGGUGAUAGGUAGUUUGUGGACGCGAGAGCAUGGCUCGUGAGGACAGACGACUUUCCAUGGACAUCGACGGAGAUAAUUUAACUGGUGGAGAGAGUGGAGACCGUCAGACCGACAGCUCUAGCUAGCUCUCACCGCGAAACGAAACUACAUAUAACCAGCCAAUAAUCUUCCAGGCGAUUUGUUUGGUGAAUGAACGUACGCCAGCCAGAGUGCCAGACAAUACAUGUGGAUGCACAAUUAACUAGUGGAGUGUUUUAGUUACCAUGCACAGUUACAGGAUGCGAUGAUCUAUAGUUACGUACUGUGCGCUGCAGCAAGAUAAGAGCACUGAGCUGUAAAUGCAAUCCACGCAUUUCUUGCUUUAAUUAUAAUAUGAUCAGGGGCGACCUUUUUUCUUUUUUCAAGGACGGAAAAAAAUGUCACCCGCCCUUGUUGAAAAAGGGCACGCACUGCAGCAAGCGCCCGCCCGGGAAAUGCAUUACCAGGACCCCGGGAAAUAGGGGUCAUCUCCGGAGGCGGCCGACCCUAUCAGCCCGGCUUUGAAAAAAUCAUUUCCUGAAGCAGGGACGGCAUUAGCCGUCCCUAAAGAUGACCUUAUUUCCGGAGGUGGCUCGUUCCUGUAAAUAUUUUUGCAGGAGCGGACCGGAAGGUCACCCGCCAUGAAGCUGCUUCCCACGCGCGAUUUGCAAAAUUUCCAAAGCCUCGGUGCGUGGGGCUCGCGUCCUAACAUUGUCUCCCUAUCACCACGACUCCACUAGUGCUACAGCAACCUUAUCUCCUCCUCUCUUCUCUCCCUCUCUCCUCUGUCUCCCUUAUCUCCUUCUCACGUCUCUCCUCUCUGCUGGGCAGGCAGGUGUGUGGAGGCCGGGCUGUGGGCACUCUAGGGUGGCACGACGCACGGAGGCCGGGGCACGGCCGCUAGGCGCGGCGCGGAGCUCGAGCCACCCGGCGUUGAAGGCUGGCGCGGAGCUCGGGGCCCCGGCGGAGAAGGCUGGUCGGCGGAGAAGGCUGGUGCGUCGGCGACCUUUUCCUCGACCGACUGGCGAGCGGCGUGGCUAGGCGGCGGGUGGCGCAAUGAGGUGGUGCAGCGGGUGGUGCAACAGCGGCUCCUGUGCAGUGGUGGGCCCACUUAGAUUCAAUGAUAUUCAAUUGAAUACCCAUUAUUUUUGCAAAAAAAUUUCAUAUAUAUAGUGUAUUUUAGGUAUAUGUAUGAAAAAAAUAAAAAUACAGAAGCUAGCAUAGACAUUUCACUCAAAAAGGCCCACCGGAGGGCAACUUUGCUCUCCCUCGACUGGCCCAACUGGCCCAUCUGGCCUGCAUCUGCCAACUUGAUUGCCCCCCCACCGUCCCACCCCCACGCGUGAGCACAGAUUCACGCACCACGGUCCACGGCUCCAGGGUCCAGACGCGCGACCGCGAACCCUAGGCGGCUUCCGGCGGCGGCGGCGGACCGGCGGUGGCGGCGCCCGGCGGUAAGCGGCGGCUGGCAGGCUAGGAGGGCGAAGGCGGCUGGCGCCUGGAGCCGAGCCAGCCGCGCUGCGGCGGCCGACGGGCCAGCGGGGGUGGGCGCGCAGGGCGCUACUGGCCACCGUGGGUGGCUGGGCGCACCACGCUUCGUCUGUUCGGCGCUGCGGCUCGCCGGCUCCGCCCUCUGUGAGCGGCGAGUCCAGUCGGCCGACGCGGGCACGCGGCGACAGCCGGCCCCAAGCCCCCAAGGCCCCUACUGUCUACUGAUUUGAGGAUUUUGUGAACUGCUAUUCCUGAUUGUUUGUGAAAUUGAGGUGAGCAUUUUCAAUUGUUUGUCAAAUUGGGAUAGCACAUCAACUUGCAAAAUGUGGAUGCUCAUGAAUUUAGUUCAAUGUGAAAUUGUAAAUAUCUGAUAACUUGAAAUUGUGUAACUUUUAGGUUUGAACCAUGAAGAGGAAGGGUAGUGCCGCUACUGAUUUGAGGAUUUUCAUGGCAAGGGCUGCUGCAAAGAAGAGACAACCUGAACCGGAGAAUGUUAAUCAAUCUUGCAAUGAAAGCCAAAUGCAACUAGUAUUAUUCCAAGGGCAGAGUGGUAGUGAAACAAGCACGGUACCACAUGAACCAGUGAGAUCUAACCAGCCUCCAGAGAACGGUACAACAGAAGAUGGUGAAUCCAUACCUGUGGAAGAAAAUGAUUCUAGUGAUGAAGACAAGAAUGAUUAUGGCAUUGAGCAUGAUCCUGGAUUGAGGGCUCCGAUCUCAAGUUAUGAUGUCAAUGACCAAGAUUCAGUUAGAAGGGCAUACAUUACAUUGGGGCCAUGUCAACCAAAGAUGAAGAGGGAUGCUUUUCUGCAACAUGAUUGUGGAGGUAUGCGCCGCUUCCAACAUAAGUGGUUUGCUGAAUUUAAGUGGAUUGAGUACAGUGUGGAUAAAUAUACUGCAUUUUGCUUUGUUUGCUAUUUGUUCAAAGAUAACUGCAAAUUUCCUGGUAGAGAUGCUUUUGUUGUUGAAGGGUUUAGAAAUUGGAAUAUGAAAAGGAGAAUUCAUAGGCAUGUUGGUGCUAUCGAUAGUGCUCAUAGUGAAGCUGAAAAAGAAAUAUAGAUUGUUUAUGAGACCUAAGGCAUCAAUCCGUGAAUCUGUUGCAUCAAACACUACACAGUUCAAGGCUAAGUAUCUAGCUCGCUUAAUAUGGUCACUUAAGUGCAUAAGAUUUCUGUUGCGUCAAGGGUUGGCUUUUAGGGGUCAUGAUGAAACAAAUGAUUCACUCAACAAGGGGAAUUUUUGGGAACUUUUAGCAUGGCUAGCAGGAAACUUUGAAGAGGUUAAUUUGGUGGUACUAGAGAAUGCACCAUAAAACUGUCAGAUGAUAGAUCACAAGAUCCAGAAACGACUCAUUGAUGCUUGUGCUCAUGAAACAACUAAAUUUAUCAUUGACGGAACUUGGUGAUGAGUGUUUUGCAAUUCUUGCUGACGAGUCAAGUGAUGCAUACCUACUAGAACAAUUGGCUCUUUGUUUGCUUUUUGUCACUAAAAAAGGAGAACCAGUUGAGCAGUUUCUAGGUCUUGUCCAAGUUGAAGAUACUACAUCAUUGACUCUUAAAGAAGUAAUUCAAUCCUUGCUUAUCAAAUAUCAAUUGCCCCUAUCCAAGGUACGUGGUCAAGGGCAUGAUGGAGCUAGUAAUAUGAAGGGUCAUGUUAAUGGUUUGAAGAAACUAAUUAUGGAUGAGUCCCCUUCUACUUAUUAUAUUCAUUGCUUCGCCCAUCAACUUCAACUAACACUUGUAGCAGUUGCUAAGGAGAAUACUGAUUGUGAUUGGUUCUUUGGGCAACUUGCUUAUUAGUUGAAUGUUCUAGGGAUGUCUUGUAAAAAGAUCCGCACGCUUCGCAUUGCUCAAGCUGAAUACAUGAUUGAAGCAUUGAAAUUGGGUGAAAUUGAAACCGGGCAAGGAUUGAAUCAAGAGAUGGACUUAACAAGGCCAGGUGAUACACGAUGGGGAUCUCACUACAAAACUGUAAUGCAUGUUAUGUUCUUGUAUCCUUCAAUCAAGAAAGUUCUCUUUAGGAUUGGGAAUGAAAGUAAAGGGGCUGAGGCUAAUGGAGCUCAAACUAUGCUCACAGUAUUUAAGUCCUUUGAGUUUGUUUUCCUGCUACACUUGAUGAAUGAAAUAUUUGGAUACACAAAUGACUUGUGCAAUGCUUUGCAAAAGAGGGAGCAAGAUAUCGUAAAUGGAAUGGAUCUUCUGGAGUUCACAAAGGUAGAACUGGAUGUUUUGAGGCAAGAUUCUGGAUGGCAAGAAUUUCUUACCAAGGUCACUUCUUUUUGUGAGAAGCACAAUGUUAAAGUUGUUGACAUGAAUGGGAAGUAUAUUCCUAUGCAAAGAUCAAGGCAGUUCUACAGAGGUGCCAUUAAUUAUCACCGGUUUCAUGCUGAUAUGUUUUUGGGUGUCAUUGAUAGACAAGUUCAAGAGCUCAAUAAUAGGUUUGAUGAGGUAAACAUAGAGCUACUUAGAUGCAUGGCAUCAUUCAGACCAGCCAAUUCCUUUUCUGCUUUUAAUGUUGAGAACUUGGUUAAGCUUGCUGGGUUCUAUCCACAUGACUUUGAAUUUCAAGAAAUAAACCAGCUUUAUUUUCAGUUGCACCACUAUAUCAAUGAUGUCAAAAAUGAUGAAAACUUCAAAAAUUUAAGAAGUCUAGCUGAGUUGUCUAUGAUGCUAGUUAAACAAGGAAAGAUUUCUCGGUACGAAAUUGUUUAUAAACUUCUCAAAUUGGUGCUUGUUCUCCCUGUUGCAACUGUUAGUGUUGAGAGGGUCUUUUCUAUAAUGAAUUUGAUAAAGAACAAGAGAAGAAGUAAGAUGGGGUAGAAAUAUUUGAAUGGUUGCUUGGUCACAUUGAUUGAAAGGGAAUUCUUCAUGCAAGCUAAGGAUAAGGACAUCAUCGCUCAUUUUCAAAGCAUUGCAGAACGGAAAGUUAUCCUAUAGCUUGUAAAUUGUAAUCUUUGUUACCAUUUUGCUGUUUUAGCCUCUAUUUAUUUCACAUGUUGCCACUUUGAUAUGUUGAUCAUUAGUAGCUGAACAAUUUUAAUUUGUGAUCAAUUUUAUUAAUCAAUGAUGCUACCACUUAAUUCGGUGUUAUAAAACUAUAAUUUAUUCUAUUAAAUUUUUUUUCUUGCCAUCUCCAAUUUUGAAUACCCAUAGUCUAGAUCUUGCGCCCGCCACUGCUCGUGUGUGGGCUGCAGGUGGAGAAGCUUGGUGGCAGGGGUCAUGGGUGGAGGGCGGCGAUGGCUCGGCGGGGGCUGGCCCGGCAAGGCCACGGCCUUGCCCCGCAGCAGCCAGGGGUCGCGGCACCAGCGAGGUUGCGCAGGGUGCAGGACCGGCGGCGGGGAGCCAGCAUGGUGGCCGGAUUUUCCUUUCUUUUCUUUUUUAUUUUGCUUUUUUUAAAAUCGGUUUCUAGGGUGGGUGAGUGGGUGAGGCCGUGGCCUGACCUGAAGACGGUACGUGCAGGACUGGGUCGACGCCCGCCCUGGAAACAGCCAUUUUUAGCUGAAAAAGUAGGGUGAGUGCCGCGCGAUCCUGCCAAUGCCGUUUCGCCCGACACUGCAAAUGUUCUCCGUAGUAGCGGUCCCCAUCUUUUUUUGACAUAAAACAUAGGUAUGCAUGGUAGCUAGGAGGUGAAUGUACGUACUGUACCGUGGCAGAGGUGAAUGUACGUACUGUACCCUGGCAGCAGGCUGACCAUCAUCAUCUUUUGCAUGCUACUAGGGCCUCAACUUGCAAAACGAAUAUUGCAUUGCAACCUAGGAGUAUAUAUACGGAUUAGCCAGUGUAGUCAACGCAGAGGAUUGGCUCGGACUAGGCACGUCAGGUGAAAUUGGAGCCAUUCGUACCCAGACGUACUCUUUCUUUUUUCCGUUUCAGCGGACUGUGACAGCACAUCUUGCAUUAUACUGACGAAAGAAAUUACAUUAUCGUACGUGGAAGCACAAGCGACCAGUGAGCUAGGAGCAAAGGGAAACCAUGCAACGACAUCCCACAUAUUGUACGUUGUCCGUUCCCUAAUCUCUACCAGCUGGUCAGCUCGCUACCUGUCAUCAUGACGUGUCUCUAUGUACGUGGCUGGCUAUCUCUGACUUAUCUGUGUACGUAACAAGUUCAAUCCAGAAAGAAAUGAAAAACUCAAAAAAAGCAUACAUCAGGCAAACAUAGUUAAAAGAAACAUAAUCAGAAAACAAAUCUCGUCUGCUGUAGCACUAGUACAAAGAUGACUUUGCCACCUUUGCACUGCACGGUUCCAUUUAAUUUUCAAGGAACUUUGUCUGAUAUGAUCUGUUGUGUGCGAUCUUAGCCAUUGCAAAUACUAAUGACAAAUCCAGCCUGAAAGUCAAAGGUGCUCCCCAAAACACUGGAGUUCAGAUGACAACUAGCUUGCAUGUAUAUUAUAUACAGAAAAUAAAAUUCUUUUCUUUAACCUGCUUAGCCGCCCCAGAACGUGCAUCGCAAGCAGGGCCGGCUCUUGAGAAGUUUAGUUUAAUGGUUUUCCCAAAUAAACACUCCUCAAACAAAUGAAUAUCCUCAUUUUUUGGCAAGAUAAGUGUUGCUUUCAUCCGUCCAUAAGCUAGCUUCUUUUGACAAACUGAUGAUUGAUAAAUAUGUUUUACCUUUCACCAUGUAAUUUCAAAGCGUGCUGAUUAAUUACCUAGUCCUAGUUCUACUAGCUACCAGGGAGCGUUAGCCCAGACAAAAUACAUAGCCCUCCAAAGAAAAAGUGCUGUUGCUGUCAUAGUAACUCCAAGGAAACCGAAGCAAACGGCCAAAGCGACUCUUCGACGAACCACAUGCAAAUGAAUGUGUACAGUAGUACUCUCUCCUAUCUUUUACGGAGUAACUUGUUGGUUCUUCCAUCUCCCCGUUGAAAACGAAGCUUGUCUUGGUCUGCAGGGAUAUCACCAUGUGCACGGAAGUGACUGUUAACCGAGACUGGCAUCUUGUAGCUGACGACUGACACUGGCUGACAGGCACUUAUAUAAAUAUAGUAAUACAAGUAUAGUUGUUCAUAAAAACCUAUAGGGUUUUCUGUGCCCUUCUUCCAUCACGAUAGUUGUAAUAAACAUAUGCCUAGAGGCUGGAGGUUGCACGCAUUACUGGAAAACCUACUUUAGUUCCGGUUGGAUAGGGCCAUAGAUCCUGAAAAUCCAACCAGGACUAAAUUUUUGAGACAAAAAGGGAUCCUUUAAUCUCGGGUCAUUCGUCCGGGACUAAAGAAAUGGGCCACCCAUCGGCCGCUGCCGCCCGCGCCCGCCCGGGCCACCCGCCGGCCACCACCACCCAGGCCCGCCCUAGCUGCCAGGCGCCCGCCCGCCUACCUGGAAGAGGAGGAGGAGGAGGAGGGAGAGGAAGAGGAGGGAGAGGAGCACGCUGCCAGCCUGCGGGAGAUAAGAAAGGGGAGAUAAAGAAGAAAAGGUGGAGGGGGGCACGUGGAAAGGUCCCGGUUGGGCGUUUAGUCCCGAUUAGUGUUACCAACGGGGACUAAAGGCCCCCCCUUUAGUCCCGGUUGGUAGUUCCAACUAGGAAUAAGGGGGUCUUUAGUCCCGGUUAGUAGUUUCAACCGGGACUAAAUGCCUCACCAGAUUCCCUCCAUUACAACCGGGACUAAAGGGGACUCUUUAGUCCCAGUUGAUAUUACCAAGUGGGACUAAAGAGCCCAUCAGAGGUGGCCUUCGGUGGCUCAUUUUUGACUCAGGACUAAAGGCACUUUAGUCCCGGGUCUAAAGUCAAUCGGGAUAAAAAGGUUUGGAUGGAAGUUGAGUUCUCUAGUAGUGACGCAUGCCAAGUCAAAUGUUGUCUUUGGCCUCUGGCUGCUAUCACUAUUGGAAAACUGAGUAUUGGUCCUAGCCCUUAGUACCGAUUGGUUUUUGACCCGGUACUAAUGUGAGCAUCAGUACUAAUGUAGUACUAAUGUGAGCAUUAAUACCGGGUCUAACGGCUAAUUCCCCAAGAGCCCCCGUGACUCCCUUUAGUACCGGUUGGGCUCCAACUGGUACUAAAGGUCACCCAUUAGUACCGGGUGGAGCCUCCACCCGGUACUAAUGGCCCUAAGGGCCUUAUUUGGAAGAAGUCUAUAUUUUAGGAGGUACCUUAUUGGGAAGUCCUUGAGGUCCUUGAUGCCUCGCCUAUUGCAGCAUCUGCAAAGGCACCUCCUUGAGUCCUGUUAGGAAUGUAGUUACCAUCUUCUUCAUCAUCAACAUCUUCCAUCAUAACUUCUCUUUCCCCGUGCUUGGUCCAAAUAAAAAAUAAAAUAGUUAGGCAUGAAUCCUGAACUGUAUAUGUGGGCAUGAAUAGUCUUUCUGGAUGAGUAAUCCUUCUCAUUUUUGCAAAUUCAGUAUGGACAACAAAUGAAACCAGGCUGCGGCUUGUUGGACUCUGCUAGAUCGAGAAAACCACGCAAGCUAUUAAUAUACUCCAUGGAGCAUUUGUCCGCGUUGUACAUCCAUUGCCGAUCCAUCUACAAAGUAUUACCGAACCAAAGAUAUUCUGAUCAUCCAUAGAAUUAUACAUGAAACAUAACAAACAUGAUACAAAUACCAUUAAAUGCAAAUAUUGCUGAAAGUUUAGAUAGAAAUACAUAAAUUUAAAUUUCAGAUCCAAACAACAUGAUACACUACAACAAACUCAAAUCUUGCUGAAAGUUUAGAUAGAAUACACAAAUUUAAAUUUCAGACCCAAACAACAUGAUACACUAUGACAAACCAUCCACUGAGUACUAUCUAGGAGGACUGGGACUGGCAGUGGAGCAUAACAACCACCAAAAGGAGAUUCUUGACCCGCCGCAAUAGCAUCUUCAUGACAUCUUUGGAAAUAACGAAGCAUUGCUCUCUCCCACGUGCUCAUUUUCUUCGGCUUAUCAUGAGGGCCAACUAUGGUUUUCCCCUUACCGCGAGAGGAAUGAUGAUCGCCCCCACCAUCACCACUACCUCCAGCAGCAGUAGCCAUCUCUAUGUACGACAAUUUAUUUAGCUCAUAUUUGCAAAUGACUAAACUAUGAACAAAUUAUAUUUUUUCCCACAAUUUAUUUAGCUCAAACAUAACAUAUAAAAGAAAAGUUUCUCCGUUGUAGCUUAUUCUAAAACUGACUAAUUACGUGCCUCUAUUUCAUCUUAUUAUCUCUAUGUACCACAAUUUAUCUCACUCAUAUUUGCAAAUGACUAAAAUAUGAACAAAUUAUAUUUUUCCCUAUAAUUUAUUUAGCUCAUAUUUGUAAAGGACUAAACUAUGAAAAUAUUCCUCUAACCUCAUAUCAAUUUCUUUGACUAAUAUAAAACAUAGCAUCUAAAAAAUUGUAGCUUAUUCUAAAAAUCACAAAUAUGAGCUCUAAAUAACAUAUGCAUAUAAAUGAGAAAUUUCUCCAUUGUACCUUAUUCUAAAAAUCACAAAUUACUCUAACUCUAAAGUAUAAAACUUAGUAUACUAACCAUGUAUCAAGCGAGGAUGAAGUUUCUAACCUUUAGAACACUUGAAUAAGUGAAAUCCCCACGAAAUGGUCAAAAAUAAGGCAGCACCGUACCUCCCCUAUUUCGCCAUGAAUGGAUGAAGCUCGAGUUGGAGGAAAUGCCUCGGGCAGGAGGAAGAAGACGCUUGAUUUAUAGGAGAAAAGUUAGUACCAGUUGGGGGGCUUCAACCGGUACUAAAUGGGGUCAUGGAGGGCUUCUGGGGAACUAGCGGUUAGACCUGGUACUAGUGCUUACAUUAGUACCGAGUCAAAAACUAACUAGUACUAAGGAUUAGGACCAAUGCUCAAUUUUUCAGUAGUGUUGGCGGUACUUUUCUUUCUUUCUUUCAUAGCACAGAAAAUAUGCUCUUCUUCUAAUCGAUCGGCAGCUCUCUCAUUAUUUGGUUUGUUUUCAAAAAUUUUUUUUGCCAAAGAUAUAUGGCGAAGGGCCAAUGAAGCUGGAGGCAGAGACGUACUGGCACGUUGGGGAGAAGAAAGCAGUGACAAACUGCACAGCUAGCUAGCUGCGAGAACCUUAUUCCUGAGCUAAAGUUGCUGGCAUCUCGCCCAUGCAUAUGCAUACCUCUGAUGAGUGUGGCUUAUUAGAUAUAGACAUUGGGUCCUGCUUGGCCCCCACACACAUCAUAAAAUUCACUUGAUUUACAUUGUACAAGAAAGUAAACACGCAAUCCUGUGGGCUACCAGAAUGUUUCAUGUGCAUAUAUAUAUUUAGUAACAUAUAUACUGCAGUAUUAUUAUUUGAUUGAUCAUGUCGACGCUAUAUAAAUUUUAUGUAUGUAUGCAUGCUAGGAAAGAAAAAGUAUAUUCAUGGAAGACCACGGUUCAACUUAGUUUAUUAUUAGCUAGCAGGUUUCUCCCGGGAUAAAGCGCGCGGUCUUGUGUUUAUUAGUUUAAUCUUACCUCAGUUGACACAUUAGGUGUGGAAACAUGACUGGAGACCAACUGCAAGUCUCCUAAUCUGCUACUCGCCUAACACGUUUAGCUUUCGGUCGGGGUUGGGGACAGAUGGGUCGGAUAUGAUGCCUGCACGAAACACACGUACUUAAAAGCAUGGUGCGUGCCAGGCGCUGCAAAAAUAUAGGUACGGUGUUUUCAUUGCUAGGCAACGGAUUACCUAGCUGCAGGGGCAAAUUUUGCACCAUCCAAUAACACUACUGUUACUGUGUUGAGCACAUGCUUGAGCAUGACCACACACUGAAUCCAAGCAAGCAACAACAAGAUGAUCUGAUCGAUCAAGCAGUGGUAUAAUCGUCUCAGUGUGAAUAGAACACGCACGCCAUGCAUGCAUUUUCAACACACGAAACUACCAACACCUUACAUUUAUGAUGAUUUGGAGUUCCGUUUUGCUGAAAAAAAGAUGAGUGAAAACUUCGAUUAUUGCAUAUCCAUUCCAUUAUCUUGGAUGUGACCUAGCCAAUAAUCGCUGAGGACACAAGCAGGAUUCGCCCAUGACAUCUCGCGAGAUAGGCAUCUCCAUGUAUCAUGGCCACUCCUUUUCUGCAUCUUUUGUUUUCCUGUAGCACUAGGCACAGACAAGAGAUAAAGAUUUGCAUCCCUCGUCGUGCAUGUGAAGCAUAUUUGGUGUUUGUUGAGGCGACAAAAAGCUGAUCGAUGUUAAUUUCUCACGAAUCAUGACUAUGCGUCUACAGUGGAGUUUAACGAGAGCACAGUUCUUUCGUUUCUUCUUCCACAACGUAAAAUAUGUACGGCCACAUAGAUCUCAUCUGGAACCGUCUGAUGCACUUCGCCGGUUGGUAAGAUGAUUCCUGACAUUUGUAUGGUCGUGUACUAUACUCACUACUAGAAAGCUGACCCUUCAUCCAUGAGCUAGUACCAGAAGAUUUUUGGUUCGGUACUAACGCGUGAAAUUAGUACCAUAUCCAAAUUUUCAGUCCCCAAAGGCUUUUUAAGUACCGGAUCACAACACCACCCUGUACUAAAAGGUAGCUUUUAGUACCAGGUGGUAUUGUGACCCGGUACUAAAGUGGGUGGUGUUAUGACCCAGUACUAAAUGGCUCUCCACGAGUUACUUCGAAAGGAAAGCAUAUCUAACUUCAUCACAUGUGCUAUGUAGGUGAGAUGAUAAGGAAGGUUCGUGCGAGGCUUGAGGUCAUGGGUUCGAAUCCCACGGACCGCGCACGCACAUAUUACGUGUGAAAUUCGCGUGUGUGGGGGCCUCCUGGCUGUUCAUCAGUUAAUGUCAAUGCCAGGGUUCUAUUUUUGUUUUAUAUUUUAUUACAAAUGUCAGUAUCCAUUAGUGUUUUUUAAAAAAGGCUAACAGUUUUACCUGCAAUUUUGGUAAAAUGCCAAUUAACAACAUAAUCUUCCAGAACGUCAUUGCCCACAUUUUUAUGGUUAAUUAGUUAACCAAAUAUACUAAACCCCACUGGCCAUUGUAAGAUGAAACUGUUAGGAAAAAAAUACUCUUUGUAGUGGUCUGGGAAACAACUCAAGUGACAAAGAUUUCGGAGCAAAGACACCACUGACCAGGGCAGAGCUUACCAAACGGAAGCCAUCAACAUUUUUCUAAUGCACAUCGGAGGUCAUUCUUUUUAGAUUUUUUUUGUGUCACACAUGAAAAGAAUUCAGUUUUUUGGAGGUGUCGUGUAACUUGCAAAUUUAACUCAACUGGCUGCAUUGGUCUCAUUUGGAAAGGGAUAUAGUUGUGUCGUGAAAGAAUUAAGUAUACAUUCAUUUCGCUACAAUCCUUCUUCGUUUCUUUGCCACACAUGGUUCCUCUGAAUUUUCAAAGUCAAUAAGAUACCAAUUUGACGAGUGUAAUUAAUUUAAAAAAGAGUGACGGUGUGUAGGACAAGUAAGAUUGAUAUGCCGUUCUUAUUGAAAAAAAAACCCAUCGUGUUUCCAAUAGACAAUGAUAAGGACACUCCUGAAAACCCAACAGGAUCUCUUGAGACAAAUCCAAGUUCCUUUUUUAAAAAACACAACAUGUUGAUACACGAGGAAAGUGUUUUUUCGAAGCAUUUUCAGGCCUUUCCCUUGUGCUUCCGGCACACUAAAAACACACCCCAGAUUCUGAUAGUGAGGGGGUGGGCGGAGUGAAUGCAAGCCACUAACCAGAAAGGAAGACCCAUCCAGAAUAACCUCAUUCGUUCCACUCUUUGCAUUUAUCCCCUACCCAUUUGCAGUGUGCAACAUGCAUGACCACACAACACGCAGUUGCAGUAAAUUAAACUAGUAAUUAAACGGCCACCAGCUAGUGAUCGAUGCAUCUCAUGUGUCAUUUGGUGUGAGCGAGCCACCAAAUGUCCAGCACCUGUUGCUUGCAUCUCAUGUGUCAUGGGUCAGUCACCAAACGGCGUACGCAUCCGAAAGGUUCUUGGCUUGUUUGCUUAUAACCUCAUGAGAAGUGGUUGGCUGUAAGAAGACUAGAAGAGAGCACACCGGGGCAAGAAGAGCACAAGUGUUGUCUUUUGAGCCAAGAGUCUCUGCAUGGUCAGUUAAGGGAAGUGUUCCCUCUUAUGAGACGACCAAAUCCGAUGCCCAAAUGGUUCCUAUCGCAAAAAAUGUUUCUGCUGUCAUGUGUCUGGUUGGAUGUGUGUCGUCCGCUCGACCAAGCAAGCAUGUCUAGCUGCUAGUUUGUUCCGACCUACUAUGUGUACUACCUUCGCAAUCGUAAAUAUAUGUCAAUUUAGGAUGGUUGCUGAUCAACGUUUUUUUAGCUUUAGCCAUCAGUAUAUUAAAUUCCAUAUAAACUCACAGACACAAGAUUGGUGGUAUUAUAUAUUCAUUGGAAAAUUUUGUCAUGGUGAUAUGUAACUUUUUUUUUCUGUUUAAGAUGAUAUUUUUGUUUUUUUAAAUGGGUAGUUAUAUUGAAGUCUAUGACGGCGUCGUAAUGACCUUGUGCCUGUGAUAAGAGAAAAAAAAUACCUUGUUCUAUGUGUUCCCUUGCUCUACCUAUAAUAAUUAGUAGUUGGACCUUUUUAGUAUAAUGAAUGUCCCCUAAACUAUAUUUUGGUUCAAUUUACCCCCUAAAUUAUUGUAUUUGGUUCAACUUAUCCCAUAAUGCAAUUUGUCAUUUUUGUUUGUACAAGUUGAUUUUCAAUUUGAGACUUUGCAGGGUGGUAGUGGAUAUCAUAAUCUAUAUGAGGGAUACGGGUACCCACUGGUCCCCACCGACCAGGAUACUGGUCAGCCUAACAAGUGGGCCCCGCCCGCCCGUGGCUGCGGGGGCAACGCAUGAAGACACGUGGAGUACAAGCUCGGAGGCUAAGCAAACGGAUUCUACCCAGAUAUUGCGGGAUACACGUUGUAGUCCGACUCAUAUUGCUUUCCAUGUAACAACCGACUAGGAUUAGAUCCUAUCUGAUUGUAAACCUAGGUCAUCAGACUAUAUAACACAGCCAGGGACGCCCCUGAGGGGGACCUCAACUCAACCCAAUAGAUGUUAACUCUUUGCACCUGCGCUCAGCAAUGUAAUCCACCAGAACACAGGACAUAGGGUAUUACUCUCCGGAGGCCAUAACCUAUCUAAACCUUGCGUCUCUGUGUUAUCAUUCGAGUUCUUGAUCUUGCGAUCUUUCCCCACCUACAAAUCUACCACCUGGGUAACCCCUGGUGGAUUGCCGGUCACUAAAUCUGACAGUUGGCGCACCAGGUAGGAGUGAUCGUGAGAUCCUCCCAGCAAGCUCGAUGGCAUCCCACCCCGGUGUCAUCUUCCGCAAGAGCAUGAAGGACUUUCUCAACAAUCUGAUCCAGCUCCGCUUUGGGAGGAUGCCGGUGGACUCCUACUCCGUCGUCUCCAUCACCAACUCGGUGUCCACCGCCAGCUCGGCAUUCGUCGAACCUACAUUGAUGAAGCAAGGUCUUCACCCAAGGAUCAUCACGCUUCUUGCCCAGCAGGUCAGCGAUCUCUCUCUCUCUCUCUCUCUCUCUCUCUCUCUCAGAGAGGAUCCCGCGCAUCCUCGUGGCAACCCGCCCACCCACACCCUCCGAUCUAAUCGUGGGGCUAGAUUGCAUCAGCAACACCAUUGCUGAGUGCAUCAACCUCUCCGGGGCGGCACUACGCCCCGGAAGGUAGGCGCAGGGCUCUCCCCACAACCCUUUUGGCAUUAAGAACUCGGCUACCGUGUUUUUCUAAAAACUUGUACAGUCUUUCCAGAUCCAAUCUAACGACCAACCCGCACCCACCCAGUUUCCGAACUGCGGCGAGUUUCAGGUCCCUCGCUUCGCUAUAACCCCAAACCCUUAUGGCGAGGGCGACGACGGAAGCUCUACAUCACUAGAUCGGGAAGUCUUCGCUGUCUCCGCAGACGAACCUUAAAAGUUAUGUACUCUUUUUACAUUUUGCAUUGAAUAAAUAAAACCUCAGAGGUUCUUUGUGUAUCUACUACCUUCUUGCUUUCUUACCUGAGCCCUUACUCACGCUCGGGGGGCUGUUGGAUCUGAUCGACAGACUAUGCCCUCGCCGUUAUGCUCGGGGGCUUCCCCCAUUAUGCGCUGACCUUCGGGUCUGACCCAUUCUCCUACCCCUCUCAUGGCAAAUAUGACUAACUUGUGUGGAUGGUGUCCUAGCUUAGCUCACGAAACAUAGACAACUUUGCAUCCACCCCUCUACAAGCUCGAGAUCCGCUCUCAGCAGAGUGCUGGCGAGGCAACGAUGGGCGCUUAGCGGGUACAGGCCCAAUCUACACAAUGUCCUGUCGUAUACACAAAAGGAGGGAUGGAUGCUUUCCAUUUGCACAAGUUAAUUGCCUAGCUUACUUGUCUCACAAUACAGAUUGAUACACAUCAUAGUUUUUUCAUUACAGGUUCAACUCUUUGACUACCUCCUCUGCGACUUGUUGAUACUGGUCAGCCAAUUUCGGAAGGCAUUUGGGGUUGCGCCCUACAAGUGCCCAGCGCACGCUUCCGCUUUUUCACACAGUUCUGACUACUUUGCGGCUUGUCCGUCUCUCUUAAUAGUUGCUAAAGUACUCGGAUAGCACAUGCUUUAAUCCGUGAAACCUCGACUCAUCUUGUGAUGCCCCGUCUACAAGCUCAAGAUACACUCUCAGUAGACUGCUGGCUAAGCAAGGCUAGGUGCUUAAAUGUAACAAGCUAACUACCCGAAGAAAUUACAUAGCCCACAAGAGCAGCACGCACAAGAAUUUACUUCUACGCUGAAUAAAACUCUGAGUUAUUUAAUUAUUAAAUACUCUACAUUAUGCUACAUAAUCUUUGUAUUAUUCUUUUACAGCUCUGAAACUACUCGGUGUGCCCUCCCGUUGCCCGACCAACCUCUUUGGCUUGGGACGGGAGGCGACUCAGCGUGCUUUCGUGGCUCAGCCGACUCCCAGGCUCGAGGGCUAGGUACCACAGAAGACUCGGCAUGCCUCCCGUUGCCCGGACGACCUCUCUAGCUUGGGGCGGGAGGCGACUUGGCGUGCUUCCGUUGCUCACCUGGCUCCCAAGCUCGGGGGAUGGGCGCCACAGACGACUCGCAUGCUUCCAUGGUUCGGUCAGCUCCCAAACUCAAGGGCUAGGCGCCAUAGAUGACUCGGUGUGCCUCCCAUUGGCCGACCGACCUCUCUUGCUCGAGGCAGGAGAUGAUCUGGCGUACUUCCACAACUCGGCCGGCUCCCAGGCUCGGGGGCUGGGUGCCUUACUUUGGUCGGCAUCCCUCCUUGGCUCUGCUAGUCCUCACGCUCGGGGGCUAGGCACCACAUUGAGAUUGGCAUGCCUCCGUGGCUGCACCAGUCCUUGCGCUCAUAGGCUGGCCGCCUUACUUUGGUCGGUGUACCUCCUUGGCUCCGCCAAUCCUCGUGCUUGGGGCUGGGCAGGUCAGCAUGCUUCCUUGGCUCCGCUAGUCCUCGCGCUCGGGGGCUGGGCGCCUAUUUCAGGUCGGCGUACCUCCUUGGACCGAUCUUAAGCGCUGUACCAACUAUACGAAUUACAAGAUUCUAGACCCUUGGACCGAUUACUUUAAUCAUUUCAAGGCUCGGGGGCUACUCCAUAUGGAGUGCGUCUUGUGACGCCCUCCAUGUGCUUCUCUUCGACCUGCAGGAUGCCCAACAUUUUGAAGCUCGGCAGUUGCUGGCGUCACGCGCAUUUGGUCAACACUUGCUCAAAAUACAAUUCUUUCUUCUUUUUUAGCACUGCGCAGCCUCUCUGUCAUCAUGACAAAACUGCACCAUCAUCCGGAUACAUUGAAGACCUUGCUACACAUCCGUCAAGUUCUUAUUCGACUCCACAUUGCUCAGGAGCUUGAAGGAUACGGGUACUCACAGGCCCCACCGACUAGGAUACUAGUCGGCCUGACAAGUGGGCCCUACCUGCCCGUGGCGUGUGGGCCAAGGCAUGAAUACAUGUGGUGCACAAGCUCGAAGGCUAGGCGAAUGGAUUCUGCCCGAAUAUUGCGGGAAACACGUUGUAGUCCGACUCAGAUUGCUUUCCAUGUAACAACCGACUAGGAUUAGAUCCUAUCUGACUGUAACCCUAGGUCGUCAGCCUAUAUAAGGUGGCAAAGGGCGCCCCCAAGGGCACGUUAACUCUUUGCACCAGCAAUCAACAAUACAAUCCACCAGAACACAGGAUGUAGGGUAUUACUCUCCGGAGGCCCGAACCUGUCUAAAUCUUGCGUCUCUGUGUUACCAUUCGAGUUCUUAGUCUUGCGAUCUCUCCCGCCUACAAAUCUACCACCUGGGUAACCCCCUGGUGGACUGCCGGUCACUAAAUCCGACACUAUAUUAAAAAAUAUUUAUGAAUUUUUCAUCAUUAUUUUUUAAUAAUUUGUUAUCUCAAGGAUAACUUUAAUUAUUAAAUAUUCUACCCUAUCAAAAUAAUCAUAAAAAAUUUAUGAUAUAUUUUUCUAACAUGUUUUAUGAUGUCUGCUAUCAUCUCGCAAAAUUUGAACUUAAUACUCCACUUGUGCGUGGAGAAAAAAAAGAUAAAUUAUGUUAAGGGUAAAUUGAACCAGAUGUUAUAGUUUAGGGGUAAACUGAACCAAGAAAUACUUCUGGGGUUAUCCAAACUUUGGUUACACUUCAAGGGAGUAAUUUGGAUUUUUUUCUUUUAGUUUCAAUAUGCAGGAAAAAACUUGGUGACUCAUUACGCCGUAAAAGCAUCUGUGGAAAUGCCGGUCAAUUCCGAGGCUAGUCACACUUUUGGCACCGGCCCUCGAAAUAGUCACACUUUUGGCGAGGCUCAUUUAACAGAAAUACAGAAUGGUACUGGAAAAGCAUUUCCAUGGUGGAGCCGUAUAAGCUAACAAAUCAUGGAAACGAGUCAAUUUUUAGGACCGGUUCCAAAUGUAGCCCGUGCCUAGAAAUGGACGUAUUUUUAGGGCCCGUCGUCUAUACAGAUCCUUUCUAGCCAUAUAUUUACAGGGCUGGUCGGUAUGGAUGGAGUACACUGUAUACUACAUAUUGGUCUUACAGUUAAGCUCUCAGUGUAAUUUAGGGCUAGUUUGGCAGCCCACUUUCCUGCAGGAUUAUCAGCCUUUUCCCCGCGGAGGAAGCCCACUGUGACGACCGACCCCAAAUCUUUCAAGUUAAUCUUAAUCCGAGUCCCUGAUCUCCCUAUCUCAGUUUCCCCGAGUUGAGUGCUCACUCUCAGUUCUGGUCCCGACCCCUGAGAUCUGACCCCUCUCCGCUAGCCCCCAGUCCCGACCCCGCCGACCCCAACUCACCCGCCGGAUCCUUCUAAGUCUUCCCACAACACCUCCCCUCAAUCUGAGCAGUGGACCAACCGAGACUGACUGGUGGACCCACAAAAAUCUUUUCCCCAGAUCUCCCGUGACAGACGCACUCGAGUAGCAUGCCCGCUUCAGAGUUCCUCCGCCACGUGGCUCAACUUCUCCGACACCCGCCGCUCCACCCCGUCGCCGGUCACGACCGGAUGGAUUCUCGCGCCCCCUUCCCCAAUCGCAGCGGAAGCCCCCUUCAACCCUUUCUGCAGCGCCUCACCGCUCGCGCCCAUCAUCACCCCGUCGGACCCCCGGCUGCAAGGCUCGAUGCCUCCCGGCUUUUCCGCCGCCCCUCCACAGUCGCGCCGCCCCGGUACGUGCUACGCGACGAUUCCUCCUCCGCCAACCCUGACCCCGGCCGCGACAGUCCCUUUCCCACCUUGUCAGAGCUGCGCCCGACAGUCUGUUGCUUCACGCUCGUCCGCGCGACCGCAGCCCGCCUGUCUUCUCACCUGUGCGCCCUCGCUUCUAGCGCCGUUCCCUCGAUCACGUCCAUCAGAUCCGCCGCACGACGAUGCCCGCCUCCGCCAAAUCUCAACCACCGGCAAAACCGCUCCUGCGCCGCCCUGUCUCUGGUGCCCAAUGGCCAACGGUGUUUUCCCCGAAGUCCUGCUCCGCCGCACUGCUGCUCAAUCGCCGCCCCGGCAGCGCACUCCAUCAUUCUUCCCAGUCUUCGCGCCGCUCCAACCUUCUCUCUUCCGCGCAGCUAUAAAAGGGAAUACCAGAGCUCCGCUGGAGUCCCCUUCGCCAUCGCUGCCUUGCUGCCGUUCCUUUGCUUUGUGCUCAAAGCGCUACAGCCUAAAUCCCUGAGGAACUCUCCUCUCCACUCCACGCCCAUCCUUCCAAUCCGUCCAGCCGCUUGCUCCUCCGCGCUGCGCAAGAGCUUGCUUGUUUCCACAAGAAACGCCGCCGCCGGAGCACCACCGGGCAUCGCCUACCGAGUCUUAGUGCUCCAGUUCUUCCACCCAAGUCCGCUCCUUCCCGACCCCAAGCUCCACCUGUAAGACGAAGGUAAGCUGCCGACCCUUCUCCGCCUUGUCCGACCCCUUCUGUUCGUCCGACCCCUGUUCCGUCUCGUCCGACCCUGUCUGUUUCGCCGACCCUUCGUCCGCCUCGCCCGAGGGCUCGGCUGUAUCCUUUUCCCUGACCCGAGGGUAUAUGUGUAAAAAUCGGGGACUACUCUGCGUUAAGUCUGAGGACCCCCAGCACAUCUAUUCCUCUAGUCCAAGGGUCCGAUCAUAAGUUCCCUCCCAUCCGACCCUUAUAUCUUGAUCUCCACCAACUCAAGCGAACUUCCCCACCUUUUUCCGUAGCCAUGCUACAAAGUUUCUGGGCUAGAACUCGCAAGUGUUGCUGCUGAAAUAACCGUCUAAAUGCUAACUCUUACAUUGCAUUCGCGUAGAGCUGCGUCUCGCUGACAGCUUCUACGAGUUGCACCCGGUGCCAGAAGACGAAGUUGUAGCCGAGCUUCCGCUUCCCGAAGCCGAAGCCGCCCCAGCAGAAGACCCCUUCCCUUCCUCCUCGCUUGAAGGCAAGCCCCGGAGCAUGAACCCCAGUUUCCCAAACUUGCGCAUGCCUUCUGCUUCUUGUUUGUGCAUUUACGUAUAGGAGUUGUUUGCAACUGUAGAUGCAUGACUUAGUUCCCUGAUCUGAACACUAGUUGUUGGACCGAGUAGUUGCCAUGCUUAAAUAGGAAGCGGUAAAAGUUGAGUGAUCCCCUAUCACUCGCAAGUUGUAGGAGUUGAUUGUUUUCCUUCUGUCACAACUAUGAGGACGAUGGACGGGGUAGGGUUUUGGUUAACUCUUUGGUGGUUGGCUGAUCGCCCCGUCUAUCUAUGAAACUUGUUAAGGCCCGACAGUGGUGGUGUUCGUGAUCAAGUGUUUGAAAGUACUAACCUCAUACUUAUUAUGGGAUGAGGAAGCCGAGUACCGGAUUGAACCUAGACGUGAGCGGUCGCCCCAUUGUCCUUGGAACGGAGUUCCCCUGUGGCCGCACGUGGUGGCAAGUGUGGUCACAGGACGGCAGAGGCCGGGUCUGUGGAACAUUGCACCAAAGGAAAUGGGCCCGACACGGGUUAGAGGAUUGAUGGGGAAGGCCGACACAGGAAGCGACCCUCGGUGGUGCGUGGAUGUCGUGAGGUUAGGUUCACCAUGCAUGGUUAAAGAACUCGAAUCAAUUCGUCUGCCUCUCACAGUUUGAGACUGCUUGAUUGCUAUGCUACCCUGAGUAAGAAAGAAAUAUGAUGAUGACAUGGUUUUGAUGAUGUUAUAUAUAUACCUUUUGGUUGGUUCUAUGUUUGCUUAGAGUAAGUUGCUAACUUAGACCGGAUAAUGAACUUAGAACCUGAGCUAAAACUUAAAAAUAGGUAUCUACAUAGUGCUUUUGGCAAAUAAACCCCUCAGCCAAAGAGCCUUGCAUGUCUAGAAAGGUGGAGUAGCUUUACUCUUGUCGGUUAAGUCUUGUUGAGCUUAGUAGCUCAGCCUUGUUGUGGCUUUCUUUUUCAGGUGAAGUUGCUGCUCCCGAGCCUUCUUCCGUUGGCACUUGGCCGCCCCAACUCCCUCCGGGUUGGACGGUCGAGUGGGAUCCCUCCUCGGACGGUGAGGAGAGGGAUCACUGACGUCUUGGCUGGCCUCACCAGUGACGUCCGACCCCGGCGCUAGCUCUGCUGUUUUAUUUUCCGCUGCUUUUGAACUUGUAAAACUCUGAUGUUUGUUUUAUUGUCAAACUAAAAUGGCCAAAUUUGUUUAACUCAGUGGACUUGUUGUAUUCUCUGGAACCACUCACCUUCGUGUGGGUUUUGCUAAACUCAGUCCUGUCAAAGUGGUUAAAUCGGAGGAAAUCCGACGGCAUCUCGAGUUAGCCCGAUUAAGGCCGAGUGUCGCAUGUUAGGCGACUUAACCGUGCCUUGAUUUAGCUAAUCCGAGGUGGAUCCGCCACACCCACGUAGAAACCUUCCACGCAUGAUCUUUCCAACCCAUUUGGAAGCCUGCUGCGGGGAGUUCUCCAGCCCGAGCAAGCCCAACUAUCUGCGCGGAAAUGCACCCGACCUACUGAGGCCUGGUAUUUUUUCCCGUCAUGCCCUCGACUCGACUCCCCUAUCGCUCGACAGAUCGCCGCUGCCACAGUCACCGUGCGUGGCUGUUUUGCUCUCUCCUCCUCCAUUGCGCGCCCUUCACUGUGGUCUCCUCCACCACCUCCGCAUCAGGUAAGUCCUCCUCCACCAGCCUCUCCUUGCCCCCUACUUGCUACGCAUUCAAUCUGCGUCCAAUUCCUCCUAGGCUCCUCUCCUCUCCCUUUUCGAGUCUCUGUCGAAUUUUUAGCCUCGCUUCGGUUUCUUGUUCUUUGGGAGUAGGAUAAUAGUUACACUACCCCUGUUGGUUUCUGAUAGGAGCUCGGCUUGAAUUUUCAUCUGCGUCGAUCUUGUCCGUGUUGGUAGUAGUAGAUCCUUUCUACUAGCUGCGGCGUGCUCUGUUUCAUAUUCUUGCCGUUUCUUGUUCUAAUAACCUAUGGACGCAUUCAAUUUGGGUUCAAUUUUGCAAAAUGUGGGGGAAAAAGGUAGCUUCUGAAAUUGUUGUGCAAAAGCUGAGUAGGUGACAGGAUAUGUUGUGCUUCAGCUAAAUUUCUGCAGCACAUAUUAGAUCUCAGCAAAUGAUGUUUUCACCUAGUUGUGAAGUGUUUUGUGCAUCUUUACAAAUUUCAGUCCCCACAAUGUUCUUCUGCAUUAGGAUUAGUACCAGUAACAUUUAACUAUUAACUUCAGAGUAUUGCAGGUUUAAUUCCGCUGAACAUUUUUGCUAGAUCUAGCCUAGUCUCUCCACAAAACAGUUGUGUCUCAGAAGUUUAGGACAUUAGAAAAAAUGAUUUGAAUCCUAGCAUCAAAUUUAUCAAUUGCUAGAAAACAGAAAACAUGCUCUCCCAAGUAUGUUGGCACUUCACAAUGAUAUAUCAUAUGAGGACCCUAUUUUCUAUGAGGACCUACGAUGGUGUGUUCGUUUUCCUAUCAUUGGAUGUGUUCUUUUCUAAAAAAAGAUAUGGUCAAAAUAAUACCAUCUCUUUCAAUUUGUAUCUCUCAAAUUUCUAUGGAUGGAUAGAACUAUAUGAUUGUGGAUGGUACUGUGAUUGGUGCAUAUUUCAAUUAGAAUAGAAAUAGGAAAGAACACAAGCAAAAGACUGCCUUAAAUCUGAUAUAUGCUAGGUGCAUUCAUUUCCUAUUUUUUAUUACUAAGUAUAUGAUAAAUGUUUAGAUCAUUGUGCUAAUUAAGAAUAUGAUUUAUAUGUACAUACACUAGAUAAUGGGAUCUUGGCAGGAGCAAGUUAGGCAGUUCUUGUUGGAGGAGGAGGAAGAGGAUGAUGAGCUAUUUUUUGUACUUGUUCCUGCCAUAAUUUCGUACCUACAAGAAGAGAAAAUGCUUGUGCAUACAUCUUCUCUUCCUGGUACCAAAAAGGUUAAGGAAAUCCUUGAAGGGUACCCGAGUUGGUGUAAAGUUGAGUUCCGAAUGGAUCCUGAAAUAUUUAAAGCCACAACAGACUUUCUUAGAAGAGAGAAUUUGCUUCGUGACACACGAGGUGUUGCUGUUGAGGAGCAGCUUGGGAUGUUCAUGUUUAUGCUCUCACAUAAUGCUAGCAACCAAAGGCUACAGAAAGAUUUUCAACACAGCGGCGAGACGAUCCAUCAAAAAAUUACAGAAUAAUUCCUACCUUAACUCAUCGAUUUGUGAGACUUCCAAGUUUAUUUCAAACUCACAUCAGAAUCACGACGGAUCCUCAUUUUAUGUCUUUCUUUCAGGUCUGCAUAAUCCUUUCCCCAAUCUUUUCUUUCCUUGCAUGCCAAGUACUUAAUUUCUUUCCUUCUGUGCAGAAUUGCAUUGGUGCAAUCGAUGGCACUCAUAUACCAAUCACCAUUGCAGAGGACAAGGCCCCUCCCUACAAAAAUAGGAAAGGAAUCCUAUCACAUAAUGUUAUGUUAGCCUGCAACUUUGACCUUAACUUCACAUUCAUUUCAUGUGGAUAGGAAUGGUCAACAUCAGAUGCAAGAGUUCUUAGAUCUGUUGUUAGCAAAGGAUUUAUUGUACCAGAGGGAAAGUUCUAUCUUGUAAAUGGUGGGUACAAUACAUCAUCCUUUAUUACCCCAUAUCGAGGAGUUCGGUACCAUCUCAGUAAGUUUAGAAGGCGUUGUUCAUCUCAAAAUGGUUAUGCAAACUACAAAGAACUAUUUAACCAUUGCCAUUGCUUCGCAACCAUAUAGAGAGGGCCAUUGGUGUUCUAAAGAAGAGGUUUCCGAUUCUGAAAGUAGGCACUUUCCAUCCCAUAGAAAAUCAAAUCAAGAUUGCAGCUGUAGCAGUUGCAUUUCACAAUAUAAUUAGAGGGCAAAUGGUCAAGAGGGGUGGCUGGAUGACCAACCAGAGUAUAUCCCAACAGAUCAAUAUGUUGACGUGCCAGAAGGGGGCCGACAACUAUCCAAGUGAGGCAGAGUCAAACGAUGGCAGUACUCUAAGAGAUCAAAUCGCACACCAAAUGUGGGAUGCUUAUAAUAAUAAUAACUAGUUUAGAAUAAUAUCUUUUUAGAGAAGUAUGGUUCCUCUAGUUUGUGUAUGAUUUGCUUAUGUAAUUUUUGGAACUUUCUACUACAAACAUUAUUGUAAUUAGUGCCUUUCUUAAUGCAAUUGUUAUCUUUGUACUUGAAUUUCUUUUUUUUGAGACACCUAGAUCUUGCUUAUGUUUCUUUGUACUUCAUCUUAACAUGUUUUGGGAAAUGCAGCCAUGGCAGGAGAAGCUGAUAGGGCUGCUUGGAACUCCGCUUAUGAGAAAGGUCUUGUUGAAAUAUUACAUGACUACAAAGAUAACCCCAAAUAUAAAGGUCAAAAUGGUUGAAAGGGCUCGAAGAUUAUCACCAUCAAGUUCAAUGAGAAGUUUCCCGUAGCUCAUUUCACAAAGAAGCAGGUGCAGGAGAAGGAGAAGGAGCUCAAAGCUAAUUACAAGGCACUAAGAGAUGCUAAAAGAGACAGUGAUAAUGGUUGAAAUGAAUCUUUAUGUAUGAUACUAACGGAACCAAAAGUAUGGGAGAAGCUAAUUGCGGUAAGCCAUUUGGACUCUAUAUAAAAUAUGCUAAGAAGUAGCUAAGUUAUUGUUGUUAACUAAUUAUCCUUUUCUGUUACAUUCAAUAGAAUCACCCAAGAGUAGCAAAGUUUCGCAAAAAGCCAUUUUCCCUCUUUUACCAAUUGGAAUCACUAUAUGAAGGUGAAGUUCCCUCACUUGCAUAUCUUAAUUUGUUACUUUGAAACUCAUCUAAUCUGAGUUCCAAUUGUCUUCGUGAACUGGAAGUGUUGCUAUAGGAAAUCUAAACUUUACAUCAUCUGCACCUGCACCUUCUGCUCCUACUCCUGCACCUACUCUUGAUCUCCCUCCUCCAGCUCCUGCUCUCCCUCCUCCAGUUCCUAUUAAAAGAAGUAAAUUUGAACAAAGCCUUCAUGAUGAUCUCAAUCUCUAUGGUACAAAUCCCUUUGCCUCCAGUUUUGAUAUCCAAGAGACCUCGAGUGCAUGUAAUGAAAAUAAUGAAGCUCAAUCUGCCUCAUCAAAUCAAGAUUCAAGGUAGGAAGAAGGUGGAAAAAAGCAUAAGAAAAGUCACAUUGGAUCUGCUCUUGAGGGAUAUGUGGAGUACAAAAAUAGCCAAACCAGCACAACUUUGGAAGCUCUUGAAGAAAACAAAAGGCGUGAAGAAGAAUUUUCAGUUGAGAAAUGUGUUGAUCAAGUGGAUGCUAUGGUUGAAUUAACCAAUGAGGAGAAGUCAUAUGCUUUAGAUCUUUUUGAAUUUGAGACACUCAGGAAGACAUUCAUUACAACCAAGAAUCCUAAUGUUCGAUUACUGUGGCUAAAGCAAAAAAUCAUGUAUGUCUCUUUGAAUAUGCUCAGUGUAUGGUUAAUGAAAAACUUACUUGUCUCAUCAUGUUUAACCAUGUAAAAUUUUGCUUUGUGUGAACCUUCUGCUGCUGACAUGGCUAAAUUAUUUCACUUUUUUUGGUUAAUUGCAGAGCCCUUAUGGGAAGCACUACAUGAUCCGAGAGUCAGUUGCCAAGAUCCCAAAGGUAACUUAUGUGUUGUUUCUUUCAUGCUAAGUAUCAUAGCUUUUCCGUCAUGUCAGUUUUGCUACAGUUUGCUCCAUGUUUACUGAAAUGAUUAGUUCAUUUUUUCUGAACUUUUCAUAGACCAACUUAUUUGCUAAUUCUUGAUUUGUUCCAUUGAUCAUUGGUUGGUACAACAAGUUACUAUUAAUCAACUUGUGCUAGAUAUUACACUCUUGCUUUGUGUGAAUCUUCUGCUACUGACAUGGCUGAAUUAUUUAAAAAAAUUUAUUCUUUUGUUAACUGCAGUGCCCUUAGUGUAAGCACUACAUGAUCCUAGCAUCCUGUGGAUUGUCAAGAUCACUAAAUAAUGAGUAUCUAAAAGACCGAAACUUGAAUAUUUAAGUGACUGUGCAUGCAGAUUUCUAGUUACUUGUGACAUUUUUAAUAGGGACAGAUUGGAUUGCUAGUUCAGUUACCUAAGCUUCCUGAAAUUUAGUCACAAUGCAUAUAAGAAAAGUUAUACCCCGAGUUUGCUUGCUUCCUGACAAUGAGGAUCUUGUUACAUAAGCUUCCUAAAAGAUCUUGUGAUAGAUUUUCUUUUGACUGUGUUUUUGUGAUAGAUUGUUGUGAACCCUUGUGUAAGUAAUUCUGAACAAGUACAUUUGUUGCAAGAUUUUGUUUGCAUUGUCAUAGCAAAAUUAUUGUGAGCUAAGCUAAUCUGUUUGGUUUUAUUUUCGAGCUUAAGCUGAAGCCAUAUUUUGAUCUUGUCUUGUCUAGUACGAAACUCUUGCUUUGUGUGCUGCCAGUCUGCCACCUUCUACUGCUGACAUGGCUGAAUUAUUUCACAAUGUUGACUCUUUUUUGUUUACAUGCAGAGUCCUUGGUGGAAGCAAUACAUGAUCUAAGAAAAAUGAAGCAACUUGUGCUGAAUUGGCAUGCCAUUUACUAGUCCUUGAUGCUUGCACGUGUGUUCUUUAUAUGCUGAAGUGCGUGGUAUUGUGCCAUGAUAGCAGUUCUGAAAAUUUUUGAGUAUGUUGUGUAACAUAUGAGUUGCAUAGUGUGAAUCAUUUUAACCGUCUUUUCAUUUUGAGUAUGUUGGUGCUCGUCGAGAAGGGUUAAGCUUAUAUGUAAUAGCAUGUGCCUGUUACCCCCGAGGACCAUGGAGUAAUAUUCUGCUACUUUGGAUAAUAUCUUGAUAAUAUAUACAUUAAGCUUAUAUGGACUAGUAUAACAUCUGACACUCUGUGUCCAUUAAUCUUACAGAUAGUAUAUCCUUGUAUUCUAAAGGCAACUGGGUUAUAUUGUUGCUCUAUUUAUCUCCUGAUUAAAUGUUGCUUAUAUAUAUUAGUACAAAUACUGUUUACAAUUUCUCUAUUGCCACAUGCCACCCAACAGAAAAAUCUAGGCAAAUUAACACCAGCCAACAGAAAUCCCCAUAUGCUAAGCAAACACUAGCGGGGCUUCCAAAUAGCAGAGGGGCAUUUUUUAGGGGUAUCUUUUUCAGCGGGAUUCUGUUGUCCAUGGAAAUUCGCUUUCUUCCCUAGGGUUAGUUUGCUUCCACUGCCAAACUAAGCCUUACAGUUAAGCUCUCAGUUAAGCUAAUGUCUGGCGAAUGAGAUAGAUAUGCUUUUAGACUUCCACAAAGAAAAACUUAGAUGAAAAUCGAAUUAUAUCACAACGCCAUGCAUAUUUUACAUACGUACAUCAUAUAUGCACACGUCCCAUCCCUUUUGCUGGUUCUACGGGGCAUCUUGAGGUUGACAUCCCCGACCCAGAGCAGCCGUUGUUGUGGUCGCGUCCCUCUCAUCAGCAGCCCUGUGUGCCGGGCCGGUGGUGUGGGUGUGCGAUGUGGUGCCCCUCCCUGGCGCCCUUUUACACCCCCUGGCGCUGCCCCAAGGACGGGGCCCUCCUCCCCCCGUCUCUCUCCCCUCUACACUUUUAAAUACACCACACCCCUCCCUUCUCCCCUCAAGCACUGAACUCAAACGCGAUCCCCUGAUCUGGCCUCCUCCCUCCUCGUCUUCCUCCUCCCGCUCGCACUCCAGAGCCCCGAGCGAGGCUGCCGCCUGCAACGGCCGCGAGCACCAUGGUGAGUGUCCUGGCGCUUGUUGAUUGAGAUGCUCCUCCGGCUAAUCCUGCUUGGGCAUUUCUUUAUUUGCUCCAUCGUUGCCGCUGAUCCUUGGCUAUGGCUGAAGGCUGAUUUCUUUGCCAUGGUGGUCGUGCUCGUGACAGGAGGGCGGCGCGCGGGACGCGGAGCGGUGGGAGGGGUACGUGGACUGGCGGAACCGACCGGCGACGAGGGGCCGGCACGGCGGCAUGCUCGCGGCCUCCUUCGUGCUCGGUAAGCGAUCGAUCGGCGACGCACUCGCCACCCGCCGCUUUUGAUUCCAGAUUCUUCUAGAGCUCCGUCCGUGCGUCCCCCUCUACCGCCGAUUGCGCCCGGGCCCCGGCGGUAGGGGACCUGAUUGGGGGGGAAAGGCCUGCACGACGGAUCGAAUAGGAUACCGGCCUCCAUGCACGGACCCUCCUCUCCUCUGGCGCUCUGGCCUCUGCUCUGGCAGCAGAAGAAGUCCUCUGCAACCCUGAGACCCACGCCACGGCUUCCAUUUCCCUCUGGUUUCUUCUUCCUCCCCAUCCCUCCUUUUCAUGAUCGGGUUCCAGCUGCUUUUUGGACAAGUGGGUGCCCGAGACCCUUUCUUCCUCGCCUUGCCUCUUUCUCCCUCCCCCACUGGUGUCCGUUGGGCUCCAUUUCCCUCCCUCCUUUCGUUCCCUUUCACAUACAGUUUCCGUUGGCUCCGGCCGGGUGCUCUCUCUCUCUCAACUUGCCCGGGAAUUCGGCACCUUUAGCGCCCAAUUGCACCACGAACCCCCAAAGAAAAAGCAAGCGCAACUUGCAUGCGCUACUGCCUCUGCAUGACCCGUGCGUGCAAUUGGUGGACGGGUUCGUGAAGGUUUUUCCUUUUUUUCUGGGGGGUUCCAUGAGCAGCGGAGGAGCACUGCUCGCUCGCGUCCAUUGUUGAUCCAUCUUCUUCAGACCACCGGCUCACCAAACUGAUCGUGAGAGCUCGUGGCUGCGGCUGCCCUCGUUCCAAGGAAGGCUUCAUGUUGCUGUGAUCUGGAAGGCUCUGGCUGCAGACAAGCUCGGUUGCAUGUGUGAAGGGGAAACUAGUUCGUGUUGUCAUCGUCAUGAAUUCAGGAUCCUGGUGCGUGUGUUCGUGUAUGAGAGAGGCAGAGGCCCCUCUGUUUUUUCUUCUCUGGCGCGCGGUUGGAUUGGUAAUGGUUUCAACACUUCAACCGUUGUGGUUCAUCAGACAGACAAAAAAAAAAAUGACCCGGACUGCCGCCGGCCUGAAUCGUCCCAAAAAGCCCGCAUUAAAACGCGGCACGAAUCGCAAGGCACGAUGGGGUCGCGGAGUAAAUUUGGCCGGCCGGCCGGUACGCAUCGGGAACGCCACCCAGCCGCACAUCAGGGCGUUAGUCAGUUACGCCGCACAUGGUUUUGCUUUGCUUACGUAAUUUUUUUUAUUCAACCAAUUCGUCGAAUUUGCUUUUUAAAAAAAUGGGGGAAAAGUUAUGCUACUUUACAGGAUUAUAUAAUUUGUAAUUUCCGCCUAAAUUAAUCACUUGCAAAAAAAAUUCAUGUUCCAAAUGGCUUGCUUAGUACCCCUUCUAUUUUAAAUUGUAUUGUUUUGUACCCCUUCUAUUUCAAAUUGUAUCGAUUUGAUUUUUCUAAGUUCAUAGAUACUAUGUCUGUAUACAUAAUAAUAUUUAUAAAUUUAAAAAUUUCAAAACAAUCUAUAAUUUAAAACGAAGGAAGUAAUAACCUGAUAACCUGAUGGUAUUUGUUGGUUAAAAUUAUGCUCAUGGUAACUUACUGCAGUGGUGGAGGUGCUUGAGAACCUGGCGUUCCUGGCGAACGCGAGCAACCUGGUGACCUACCUGAUGCGGUUCAUGCACUACUCGCCGUCGCAGUCGGCGACGGCGGUGACCAACUUCAUGGGCACGGCGUUCCUGCUCGCGCUCCUCGGCGGCUUCCUCUCCGACGCCUUCUUCACCACCUACACCAUCUACAUCGUCAGCGCCUUCAUCGAGUUCACGGUAUGUCGUCUAUGCCAUCUUUGAUCUUGUUGCCUGCUAUAGUGCUAUUGCAAUACAAUGCAAAAUAGUACGAGCACACUGCACAUGCAAGUUCUUCCAUCGUCUUCUACCUCUGACUGACAUCACGCGACGAUCGACCAAAAAAUAUGUGAGUUAGUUGGUAGCAGAUGCUUCCGGAUCGGAUUGGAAAACAUAGCUCCAUGGUCCUCGCCGUAUCUCCACGCUGGCGUGGGAGGAAUAUACUAGCCGAUAUGAUUUGCAGCCCAGCUGUGUGCUUGACCUCCCACGUUGCACUCAUGAUCUGUUUUCUGCUGACGGGAUGCAUGGCUGUGGGUCAAGUAGAACAUCGCAGCUGCCUCUCAUGCAUCGAAGCCGGCCAAACAGCUAAUUAAGCUGACGAGGCAAACACGUGGCCUCUGGUUCAGCUGACACUCAAAGUCCUGUGAGAGACCGAGCUAGAGAGUCACUUUCAUCACCAAUCUCAAUGUGAUCAGAGAACGUAGCGUCCUGCGUGCGCCACGUCCAUGCAUCACAAAUUGCCUAGUGCCCGCACUCGCACACUCAGGUAGCCGUCCAUCUCGCAGUGGCCAAAUUAGAGCCUGCCAAGCUCAUGCACAAUUCCCUGCGAUUUGGGUUAAGCAGCUGAGAGCGCGGAUUGUAUUAGGGCCAAUGAUGAUUGGUAGCCAUCACUUUAUUCGACAACAAGACGAUAUGGGGGCCGAUUUGACUCGGUACCCUGGGUCAAAGGGAAGCUAAUCACACAUCUUGUUCAUACAUUGUGCUGUCACGUACAGCACCACCCUAUGUGGCUAUGGGCAGUGUAGCCGUGUAGGGCAUGGGCUUAACCGUGCCGUGCGUAGGGGCCUUGUUCGGGAAAUCAGUGGACCUCCCUCCUGUCGCUUUUAGAAAAGAACCGGCGGCGCAAGAACAUCCAUGUGAAACCCGUUACCGAUCGCAAAGGAUGGGCGUACUACGUACCCUACCCUCCUGCGUGUGCUAAUUUCUGUGUGGCAUGUUUUCUUUUCCUGCGUGUUAGGGAAUGACAUACUAUUCAUGUACUAUAUGUUUCCUUUUUUUUAAUUUUGGGCUGUUUUUUCACCUUGGCUCUGAAGCCUACAAAUAUCCCCUAAAUAUAUGUUAGACAUUGGAUGAGUAGGAUGGAUGUUGAUUUGUAGCGAGUAAAGUGACAUUUCUUUGUGGAUCACGUGGGUACUUCCUAGCAAGUUGAGCAGCAUAAUUGUACUUGCAAAAAAAAAAGACAAAAAACAGUCAUUUGCAUCAACAACCGUAAGAUGUAGGGCAAUGGCAACGGCUGAAGGCGAUGGAUGUUAAUAAUUUUUGUCACUACACAGACAAAAAGAAUACUAUAUUCCCUCUAAAUAUCAAUUCGGACACCAGUGCCCCGAAAACACACAAGUUGUUGUCAAUGUGACAAUGCAAUGCAUGUCAUCAACCUAAGAGCUUUUGUUUGGGCCGGGGUGCCGCCAGGUUCGCUUUUGGAACGCCGACAAGCUGUCGGCAUCUGGGACGCCGAGGUCCUAGGAGUGUUUGGAUACUUCAUGCUAAACUUUAGCAACAAAUUUGCCAAACAUCCUUACUAAACUUUGCUAUACUAUGGGUGCUAAACUUUAGCUCUUUAGCAACCAGCUAAACUUGGGGCUGGACACCCUUUGCCCUUCAUUAUUGUUUGUCUGGACCCUCUCUCCCCCCUCGCAUUAAAUAAGAGCAGAUAGAUCUUUCUACACCUCAUUAAAUGUUAUUUAACCCAUUAAUCCAAACAGCCCUGAUUAAAAUUUAGCACCUUAAAUUUAGCAAAGUUUAUGUGUGCUUGUGACACGGCGAUCUCAUCCCGUCCCCCACUCCGCACGAGAGGCCAAUCCCUGCGGCGGGGUCGGCAUGGGGAGAGGGAAUCUCCACCGCCAUGUCGCGCGCGCACGCUGUGAGUGUGAGGUGACCGACCUGCCCGCGCGACGCGUCCCGGCUCGUCUUUCUGCUCUGUUUUUGCAUCGGAGAAGCCAAGAUCGUGCGGUCGGGUCGUCUGAUAAUCCUUCGAUUGAUGACUGGUAGAUGGUAGGGACGUGAUGCUUUGAGAUGGAACCACGACGACGAUCCACGAACGGGUCGAGGAAGGAUCGGCGACAGGGACAGCUGGUAGGUAAUGAUCCUGGGCCGCUGGGCUGGAGCAAACAAACCGGGUGAGACUACGGCCGAACGUUCUGGAGGCUUUUUGCCGUGGUCCGUACCGAACCACCCCUGGCCAUCCCCACCAGACACGUAAAACUUAGAAUAUUUGUGAUCCGGGCACUUUACAUCGGAACGGCAUGAUUGAUCCUGAUCCGGACGCCUGGGGUUUCGUCCGUGUACGGCGCUAUGGUCAGCUUGCCAUGCCACGUCGCGACGCGGGGCAAAAAGCCAAUAGGCUCGCGUCUCGUUGCUGGGCACUGUGCCGGAGCUGCGGAGCAGCGGCAGCCGAAACCGCUGCUUCAGGGGCUGCCUGCGCGUGAGGACGGAUUUUUGCUGUUUCGGCCGGACGCGAGCCGCCGCGGGCCCGCGCGUAUCUCCAGCCUCGUCGGGAAGCUUCGGAGGGCCCUGCGCAGCCGGGAACGGGAAGAGGGAGGAAACGAUUGCGCGGGGCCGGAGCCCGGAGCCGGAGGGUUGGGGGACAGCGACGGGACGAGGGCGCGUCAGGUUCCCGUCUCCCGGACGCGCCGCGCGUCGGUUCUCGUUUACUCGGUUGCUCGGCGCCUGGGAUUCGGGCGAACCUGAGCGAGCCUGAUUCGAUCUGCUAGUGCUGGACACCAUAGUCCAUAGCACGACAGACCAGACUGUAUUUUUUUUAACACACAUUUUCUUUUUGAACGACGGUGUCUUUCUGGCCGGAAAAAACUACGUGGAACCAUUUUUUUUUUCAAAUUCAAAUUACACAUUACACACUCAGACACUCACAUAUACACAUGCACACUCAACCUCUACGAAUACAUAUGAAAUCCUACCCUUAGCACCUUGCUAUCGAAAUUAACAAAAUCAUUACUCGCACCUUAUUGUUGAUGGGCACGUCACCUGCCCACUCCUGGAAGUUUUAGUCAGCGCUGACAAAAAUAUAGUGCACAGAACUGGGCGCGGCCUCCUGGUCGAAUCGCCCGCCAUUUCCAUGGUUUUUGUCUGAACCCCGGCCGGACCCAUAUAUGGCUGGUCAAAGCGCUAACUGCAUGGGAUGGGACGGCGGCCACCGGGGGUCGGUCUCCUCCCCUGCUUUGGCGCCCCGGAUCACGGGCGCAAAGCGACGCUCGCGCACGGGCCGAGAGCCGGAGCAAGUAGCUCGCCCGCCGCCGCCACUUGCCCUCCUUGCCGCGCGUCCGUGCGCUUGCUUUUUGUCGCCGUCGCCUGAUAUUUACCCAAUCAUUCGACGUGAUAGACUCACGUCUCGUCACUUGACAUGAUGAUGUAUCUUCUCUGAAGUAAAAAUCCUGCAAAGAACUCGCGCACCAAAUCAUGACAAAAAAGGAAAAAAAAGCAAUGCAUGUAGAAUUUGGGCUCGGUCCAGAUACAAUGGGCCACACAUGGGCUGUGCAAUGUCUGACUGUUUCUUCCAUUAAAAUGUGUGUGCUAACUGCAAGUAAAUGUUUGAUGGCGCGCAGGGGCUGGUGAUCCUGUUGGUGCAGGCGCGGACGCCGUCGCUGAUGCCGCCGCAGUGCGCCAAGGCGCCGUGCGAGCCCGUGUCGGGCGCCAAGAAGGCGAUGCUGUUCGCGGGGCUGUACGUAACGGCGCUGGGCAUCGGCGGGAUCAAGGGCUCGCUGCCCUCCCACGGCGCGGAGCAGUUCGACGAGCACGCGCCGCGGGGCCGCAAGGGCCGCUCCACCUUCUUCAACUACUUCGUCUUCUGCCUCUCCGUCGGCGCGCUCAUCGCCGUCACCUUCGCCGUCUGGGUCGAGGACAACAAGGGGUGGCAAUGGGGGUUCGGCAUCUCCACCAUAGCCAUCCUCCUCUCCAUCCCGGUCUUCGCCGCGGGAUACGGGAUGUACCGGAACAAGGUGCCCACGGGGAGCCCGCUCACCACCAUCGCCAAGGUCCUCCUCGCGGCGGCUCUCGCGCGGCGCGGCGGAGCGCAGAGCGCCAGCAACGGCGCCGUCAUCGACCGGGCGCCCAGCCCCACGGGGAGCACCGACAUGAAGGAGUACUGCAAGACCGGCGAGAUGGGGGUCAUCUCCGACGCCGCCGCGGCCGCCGGUGAUGAGCCGGCCGAGCCGUCGCGGGAGCUCGCGUUCCUGAACCGCGCCGCGCAGUGCCAGGCGCCGCCGAACGGGCUGCUCGCGUGCACGGUGCAGGAGGUGGAGGACGUCAAGAUCGUGCUCAUGGUUCUGCCCAUCUUCUUCUCCACCAUCAUGCUCAACUGCUGCCUGGCGCAGCUGUCCACGUUCUCGGUCGAGCAGGCGGCCACCAUGGACACGCGGGUGGGCAAGCUCACCGUGCCGCCAGCGUCGCUCCCCGUGUUCCCGGUCACCUUCAUCAUCCUCCUCGCGCCCGUCUACGACCACGUCAUCAUCCCCUUCGCGCGCCGCGUGACGGGGACCGAGAUGGGCAUCAGCCACCUCCAGCGCAUCGGCACCGGGCUCGUCCUCUCCAUCGUCGCCAUGGCGGUGGCCGCCGUCGUCGAGGUGAAGCGCAAGAACGUUGCCGCCGACAACGGGAUGCUGGACUCGGCCAAGCCCCUGCCCAUCAGCUUCUUCUGGAUCGCGUUCCAGUACUUGUUCCUGGGGUCGGCGGACCUGUUCACGCUGGCGGGGCUGCUCGAGUUCUUCUUCAGCGAGGCGCCGUCGCGGAUGCGCUCGAUGGCGACGUCGCUGUCGUGGGCGUCGCUGGCGCUGGGAUACUACCUCAGCUCCGUGCUGGUGUCCAUCGUGAACAGCGCGACGGCGCACGGCGGGCACCGGCCGUGGCUGCAGGGUGCCAGCCUGAACCACUACCACCUGGAGCGGUUCUACUGGGUCAUGUGCGUGCUCAGCACCCUCAACUACCUCGUCUUCUUGUUCUGGGCCAUCAGGUACAAGUACAGAAACGCUGGGGUCAUCAAAGGGUAAUGCCAUUGUCAAAUAGGCAUUGCCGUUGAUCGGAUCGCCAUGGUAGCGAGAAGAGAACUGCUGGGUGUAACUGUUUAUAUUGGUGGCAAGGAGGGAGUCAAAAAAAGAAGUACUAGGUUCAUUUCUGCAGGAUGUGGGGAUUAUAUUGGUGGUGGUUAUGAGGCUGUCAUGAAUUUGGUUGAUUGGUUCAUCCACAAGUAAAUCAACAAGAGGUGGUUCAGUUAAUCUGAUGUCCAUUUGUUAGAAUCAAUCAAGCAUAGUUAAAUUUGCCAUUUGCAAAUCUCAAAGCAAAAACGAUUACCAACAUCAAUGUUAGUACUUGCAGCCUAUUGCAAAACUUGGCUUAAAAAUGAUCUAACAUGCUGACAAGAUUAACAUAGGUCAAUACUAACAUAUUUGUUAAUUUUUUUUUGAAGGGUAAACUGUGGGGGAGUUCCCCACAGCACUUCAUUUUCAUUUCAUAUAAAAGGGAUGCAAAAGAGAGUACAGGGGGUAUACUUACAGACGGGAGAGAGAAAUAUACAAGGUANNNNNNNNNNNNNNNNNNNNNNNNNNNNNNNNNNNNNNNNNNNNNNNNNNNNNNNNNNNNNNNNNNNNNNNNNNNNNNNNNNNNNNNNNNNNNNNNNNNNGACUAUGAAAUUCUUUGUUAUAUUUAUUUACGAAUAAGUGUGAAAUAGCUUAUUUCUUUUUCCCUUAUUAGGAAUUUACAAGUUUCAGCUAUUUAUCGGCCUACUCUAGAAAACUGAGUUUCAUCGAACUUGUACUUAUUUAAGCGAGAGAAAUAGCAACAAAGCUUUAACUUACAUAAAACCUAGCACUGCAAACUUUUAUUAGAAGAGAUUAGAGAGCUGUAGGAAAUGGAACCACAACUGGACUAAAGCUCCCAGCCCCAAUGAGGUUAUCAAAUGAAAAACCAUUAGUUGCGUGGGCCAAUUCAGCAUAAGAUACCCUCAUGUGUUGUUCACCAAUGACUGACCUUUGUUGGUUUGCUUUUAUUUUUUUAUUCUUUCUGUAUAAUGAAGACAGUGCAAAUUCUAAAAUGCAACAAAAACACAACCACUGCAUAUGGCAACUAUUAUGGCAAGUUUUUGCAAUGGUUUAUUCCUGGAGUGGUUAGAGCAGUGUGGCAAUUUCAGUUGAGGGUUACCACCACAAAGGCCAUCAUUUCCAGCAAUGGUUAGGUCAGAUGGUGUAUUGCUUAGCUAAUUGCUGCAGAUUAUGUUAAUAUUAACCUGCAAUUGCAGAUGUGGUAAGCUUUGUUAGUUAUGUUGGGAUGAAGAACUUCAGUUCCGUCCUAUGUUGAUACGAAGGUAUUCUUUGAAAUGGUUGUAAUACCUGUAAUUUUUUUUGUUGCAGGUUACUGUAAUGGAGACAGGAGGGUACGUUAGCCUGGAGGAAACUAAAGAAUAUAAGUGUAUUGUAGAUCAGACUUUCACGAGGGAGGAAGAUUUCUAUGAGUUUUACAAUGAUUAUGCAUACCAUAAAGGGUUCAGUAUCAGAAAGGGCAGAGUUAGGUACAAGACAGGUACCCAAGAGGUGAUAUGGAGAAGACUCAUGUGCUCCUGUGAAGGAUAUAGAUCUGUUAAGUACUUUGAAAGGAUGGAUCAAAAAAGACAGCCACGUGCCCUCACCCGUUGUGGAUGCACAGCUAGGCUUGAUGUGGAGUGGAGUGAAAGUAUUGGCAUCUGGUAUGUGAAGGACUUUGUGGAUGUCCAUACACAUGCCCUUGCAAAACCAGAGCAUGUUUUUAUUUUGCAAUCUCAUCGAGGGCUUAAUGAUCCUCAGAAAGCAGAGGCAGUAGAGCUGGGACUAGGUGGGCUGCGUCCCUUUCAGAUCAUGGAUGUAAUGGAGGCCAGCCACGGUGGUCCAGGGGAGACUGGAUUUCUUUCGCAGGACUUGUACAAUUUCUUUUCAAGGUACAAGAAGGGAAAGGUUGAAGGAAGUGAUGUAGAAUUUGUGUUGAAUCAUAUGCGUUAGAUGCAAGAGAAAGAUCCGGAGUUCUUUUUCACAUUUAGUGUGGAUGCACAAGGCAGGUUGAAGAAUCUAUUUUGGUCGGAUGCAUAGUCGCAGAUAGACUAUGGUGUUUUCAGAGACGUCGUUGUAUUCGACAGCACUUACCGAGUGAACUGGUACAAUCUUCCGUUUGUCCCUUUUAUAGGAGUUAACCAUCAUUGAAGCACAGUUGUCUUUGGCUGCGGUAUUUUAUCGGAUGAAACUAUCUUGUCAUAUGUGUGGCUCCUCGAGGCUUUACUGGAGGCGAUGCACCAGAAGCAUCCAAAAUCCUUAAUCACUGAUGGGGACGCAUCGAUGAUGACAGCUAUUGAGAUUGUCAUGCCUGAUGCAGAUCACAGAUUGUGGAGUUGGCACAUAGAGCAGAACAUGCUGAAACGGUUCCGUGGUUCGAAGCUCAAGGAUUUCAGGAAGUUCAUAUACCAUGCAAUGGAGGAGGGUGAAUUUGAUAGGCUUUGGAGAGAGUUUAGAGGUACCCAUAAUAUCAAAGAAGAUAACCUAUGGGUAAAUAGGAUGUACAAACUAGAAGGAAGUGGGCUGCCACGUUCACAAGAGGGAGACAUUUCUUGGGCAUGCAAAACAAUCAGAGGAGCGAGAGUCUGAACUCAAGGCUUCACAACCAUUUAGACCGAAAGAUGUCCUUGGUUGAUUUAAUGGAGCAUUAUGAGUUUUGCCUAUCACGCAUUCGUCGGAAUGAGAUUGAGCUUGAUGCGAAGGCUCUAUGUUCUAUCCCAUUCACUAAGAUUUCUGCUGAUGUUCUUGAGAAAAGUGCCGCGCAGAUCUUCACACCAACUAUUUUUCAGAAAGUGAGCUUCCAGAUAAGAAAAUCAAGUAAUUGGUCGGUGACAGAGGUGACAUUGCAGAAUGGGUGUUUGAGGUAUGAGGUUUCAUUGCAAGGCAACAACAAGCGUUGGUUUCACGUGACUUGUACCUUUGGGGUCAUCGUUGGUUGAUGCUAGAUGCCAUUGCCGGAAGCUGGAGCGGGAAGGAAUUCCAUGUGCGCAUACUUUCUGUGUCAUGAAGUAUUCUCGUAUAGAGAGCAUCCCUUCUUGUUGUGUUUUCGUGAGGUGGACUAUGAAUACGAAGAGUGCUUUCCCAACGGAGAUGCGUACCAACACGCAUGUUUGGACUAAACAAAUGGAUCGUUACCAUUCCCUUCGCUCAAAGGGCAAUCGUGCUUUAUUCAAAGUUUCUAGGAGCCAAGGUGAGACGGAGAGGGUAAUGAAGUUACUUGAUGAUAUUUUGAAAGAAGACACGCAGGAGCAAGGGAUGGAAGAGGAAACGACAUUUGGGCCUUUGCCGGCUCAUUUCUCAGCAGUCAACCAGCCAGGUGGCACCAAAGUACUUGAUCCGGUGAAGAUUGUUUCGAAAGGUGCUCUGCGAUCCAACAAGAGGUGGAAGGCAAGCCAUGAAUUCUGGGGACCUGUUUGAAAAUGUGCAGGUUAGAUAGUUAAGUUUUUUAUUUAUGCCAUCAGGCACGCAGGUGUUUGGGAAGAAGUCCUCUUACUUUUUGUGUUGUUCGCCUAAAAUCUUGGACAAUCUUGUUUUUCUUUAUUGCUCAAAAUGAAAAAUUUAUUGCUCAGAUCACAAUGAGAAUAAUUGCAUAUGAUGAGUUUGGAUAAUCUAAAGUUAUUCACUUAUUCUUGAAUGCUGAAAAGGACAUUGUGAUGGGCUUCAUCCUUUACGUUUUAUUCAGGCAGUUCACAUGCAGAUACGAUGCUUGGCUUGAGUUGUAUAUUCGCAUUUACGAAGAUUGUCUAUGCAUUAACUUCUUCGUUUUACAUGAAUAGUGGCUAGCUCAAUAAGAUACCUUAUAUCUCCUAUAAACUUAGGUAGUUUUAAUACUCAUGAUUGUAGCUUAAUUGAUAUGGAAAUGUCUUUUUUUCCUACAGGAUGUAUUGGACAGUCUAGAAUUUGCAAGGGGGAGUGCAGAUUCAACAUGGGGCUCUGUUCGUGCUGCAAUGGGGCACCCUGAACCAUUCCCAGUGAAAUAUGUUGCAAUUGGAAAUGAAGAUUGUGGGAAAAAAUUUUACCGCGGUAAAUUUAUCAACUACAUAUAUGUUGCAUCCUUUGUGGAGUUUAAGUCAAAAUGGUCUUGUGCACAAGGGCUUCCUGAAUCCCAAUGUCCUUUUACCAGCACAGAAAAAGUUGAACAUGAUUCCCAGUGGUAGUUGACAAGGGAAAUACUUCACCUACAAUCUUUUUUAUUGAU
rnacentral:lncRNA from 1 species